rnacentral:lncRNA from 1 species
CAUUUUUAAUGACAGGGUGGUCCUUAGAGUACACGUCUUGUGUGAUUACGAUGAGUGACAUCUCGUACAACGGUUUUUUAGUCAUGUUGACCAAAUUAUAAAUGCCAAUGUAUUUGUGCAUGGCAUAUAUUGCAUCAGUUUUUUAAUAAUAUAAAUAUACUUAUAAUAAUUGCGGUUGCUAUAGGGUGAGUAAAGAGUUGCUUACAGGAUUUUUUUAGGAUUUUUUUUUGUUUCUAUGGUCUAGUGGACUACGCUUGUAUGAUGAAGUUUUCUUUCAUCUACACCCUUAUUUUUUAGAUAAAUGUCUACACCUUUUUCCCAAGCGAUUCCACUCAACAAGGCACAUAGCAUUUUCGAUCUCAGAAAAGAAAUGUAUUGUGCAUAGUAAUAACUGGGUCAACAUAACUUCAAGAAGAAAACGGUCAUAGGAGAUGUCACCCAUUGUAACCACACGACACGUGUACUCUAAGGACAACAUUAUCAUUAAAAAUGUGAAACUGUUGGCCCCCUACCUACUACUCCAGGCACAUCAUGAGGAGCCUCAUUUUCCGAUGGCCUGCAAACCUGUCAAAAAAAGCUUAAGGCUUAUUUGGCUUCAAUUGUAAAUGAGCCAAACUUGAGCGAGGACCAUUGCCUGUGAACCAAAACAUGCUAUGGCUCGACAGGGCUCACUUUUAUCUUUUCCACUGAGUAAAAGCCCAUAGUCUAGAUGAGCAGAGAUGGAGUUUAGUGACUCCUAAAUUAGUUGAUUUCUUAGAAAGUAUGAGGCAGGAAUCUGCGAACCAAGUAAAGCAUAGGCAACUUGUAUGAUGAAAUUUUCUUUCAUCUACACCCUUAUUUUGUAAAAAGUAAUUAUAUCUACACCUUUUUCCCUAGCGAUUCUACUCAAAUGGUGCAUGCAUUUUCAGUCUUAGAAAAGUAUACGGUCAUAAAACCGGUCAACAUGACUCUAAGAAGAAACGGUUAUAUGAGAUGUCACUCACCUUAACUACACAAUACGUAUACUCUUAGGACCACUCAGUCAUUAAAAAUGUGAAACUGUUCUUUCCCCACCUACCCUGGACGCGUCAUGAGCAUCCUAUUUCCGAUGACUCGUAAAGCUGCCAAAUAAAUCUGAAGGCUUCCGAGGUUGGCUCCAAUUGUAAACAAAGCCAAACUUUAGCGAGGACUAUAGCCUACGAGCCAAAACAUGCUUAAGCUCGAUAGGGUUCGUUUAUCUUUUUUUUUAAGUAAAAACCAGUAGCCUUAGAUGACCAGCGCGGGUGUUUACUGGCUCCUAAUUUAGUUGAUUUCUUGAAGGUCCAAGGCCCAAAUUGGCAGGCCAACUAAAGCAUAGGCAACCUUUUAUUAAAAAAAAUGAAAGCGUAGGCAACGUGUUUGAAUGCACGGGAAUUUAACGGUGGAAACCGCGGAAGUAUGACCGAGCCGAGCUCGGCUGGGGUUCGUGUCGGGCUCGAGCCUGGGCACCGGGGCUCGCUCGAGCUCGGCUCGUUGACAGCCGAGCACACCCGCCUUCCGCUUUCCUCUCCCCUUCUUCUCCAGGAGGACUCCGACCCGAUAGAUCCGCCCCCCACGUCUUCUCGCCUCGCACAUCGGCAGCAACCGCACGUCACCUCCCAUGGGCUCUCGCCGCCUCUGACACUGGGGCUCAACGCCCUCCACCGUCUCCGCCUCCGCCUCCGCCUCCUCCCCCUCCUCCUCCUUCCCCUCCUCUUAUUGCCUCCACCGACCCGCGCCGCCCGCCCCCUCCCGCCGACAUCGGAAACCUUAAUCCUAACUGUUGUCGGAACCACCUUGCCGGCUCGCCGCUCCUCCGCCCCAAGCCUCCCCGAGCUCUUGGAUGCGCCUGCUGCUCCGAUGGCUGCCCCUCCGCCCGCCGCAGAGGGCCCCGACGCCGUGGAGAUCCGCGAGGUCUGGGCGGAUAACCUGGAGCAGGAGUUCGCGGUGAUCCGCGACGUCAUCGACGCGUACCCGUACGUCGCCAUGGACACGGAGUUCCCCGGCAUCGUGGUGAAGCCGACCGGCAGCUACUCCUGCCAGAGCGACGUCAACUACGCCACCCUCCAGGGCAACGUCAACAUUCUCAAGCUCAUCCAGCUUGGCCUCACCCUCUCCAACGAGGCCGGCGCGCUCCCGCCGCGCGGCACGGGGGGGCGGGGCUGCAUCUGGCAGUUCAACUUCCGGGGAUUCGACCCGCGCACCGACCCCUCCAGCAGCAUCUCCAUCGACCUACUCCGCCGCAGCGGGAUCGACUUCGACCGCUUCGCUGCGGAGGGGGUCGACUCCACUCGCUUUUCCGAGCUGAUGAUGACGUCCGGGCUCGUGCUCAGCGACAGUGUCCAGUGGGUCACCUUCCACAGCGGGCACGACUUCGGCUACCUGCUCAGGCUGCUCACCGGCCGGGAAAUGCCGAACACCUUGGAUGAGUUCCUGGAGCUCACCAAGACCUUCUUCCCGGUGAUGUACGACGUCAAGCAUCUCAUGAGGUUCUGUAGUGGCCUAUAUGGCGGGCUGAGCAAACUUGGGGAGCUGCUCAAAGUCGAGCGAGUUGGGACCAGCCACCAGGCUGGUUCUGAUUCACUGCUGACCCUGUGGUGCUUCUUGAAGGUCAAGAAUUUGUACUUGAAGGAAUCUGUCAAGCUGUAUGAUGGUUUGUUGUUUGGGCUUAUUCCAGGGGAAGGGGUGAUUGGGUGAAACCAGGAGCUCCGCCCAUCUAAUGUGUAAUGGAUAGUUAAAUAACAAGAUUCUGAAUGAGAAAAAAAUGCAGAGCUGAUCUGAUGAUUUCUUGUGCUUGAUAUGAUAGGCCUUCUCGCCUAACUAUUCUCCCCCAUUUCUUCAACUGAAUGAUUAACUUUUCUUUGUUUUGUGUGCUCAUCUGGCUAGGUAUUACCUAAUAGUUAACACCAACAUUAUGUUUGAAAUCAGGUACUACAUGAAGUAUCAGGCAACUGAAAGUUCUUACUUCAUUUUCUGUAUUUAUAGUGGGUUAGCUCGUUCUUCAUCUUAAGUAUUUCUCAGUAAGAUAUCUUAUUUGUUAUGCUAUUAGUGAUUGAAAGCAUGUCUAGGAACUAUUGCUUUAGUUAUCUUGGAUAACCUUGUCUGGUUGGGUUUAUGGGAAAAUGAACAACUGUAUGUUUGGGUAUUGUUCAUGUUAACAUAGGCGUGAUUCUGUCUGGUCUUCCUUUUGCUGCUUUGUUGCCUUUGUGCCAUCCGGUUCCUUCACUCUCACUGUUUGUAUUCUAUUCUUCAGUCAUUCAGCAAGUGGUAAAUUUCAUAUUGGUUGCACAGCAGUUUAGCUGCAAAACAUGCUUUUUCUGAAUUCCAAUUCUUUUGCUUGAUGCUGCCAUUAGUCAUACAAAUUUUGCCAUUAGCCGACUGUUGUUGCACAUAUCUGAUUCACAAGGGACUAAUGUUGCAAAGUCUUAUCUUGAACUUGCUGCACAUUAUACUUCACCUUUUUCCUCUUUUCUGUUGAUGUGGAGUCUUUGUUCCUUAUAGUGCCAUUUAAAGGGUUGCCAGGAAAAUUAAAGUAUUAAGGGGGGAAGUGUAUGUUUUUAGCAUUCACCAUUUUGAACCCUGUAAUUUUGCUUUCGAUUGUCUAAACUGUACUCUACACUGUGAUUUAACCUGGUUUGAUGACUAUGAGCAAAUAAUCAAUAUUCAUUCUACCCUGCUUAAAACCCUUGACUGAAAGGUUAUCAAAACUUACAUCUGUCCUGUGCUACUCCUGUUUGAUAUUUGUUCUGUUGCUUAGAUGAAAAUUUGUGCAGGAAUACUAAUUGUUUACAGCCUCGUGCUACUUUUAAAAGCGAGAACAUGGAUAUCGUUCCAUGAGUAUGUAGUUUUCAAAGCAAGAAAAAUAAUGUUGUUGUAAUCAUGAUAAUGCUUUGUUGCUCUGAUUUUAGUUUCUUAUAAAGUAACAGUUUCAGUCAUGAACUUAUGGGUCAGCCACAUUUGAGUACAUGUGGCUACACUUGUUCCGACACAACUUCAGGGAUUCAUUGGAAAUUUCCUAAUGGACAUGUUUGAGUAGCUUAUUGUAUAGUGUGAUUUUGCUUGGUGUCCAGUUAUUCUUUUACCCUAUGAUAACUGAAUGAACUCCUGUCUACUGUCUGCGCGGUUUGAUAUUUGAUUCUUAGACAGGAGCUUGAGCACUAAAAGCAUCAUAUCUGAUGAAUUUUCUGUUCCACUGUCAUGAGUGAUGUCAAAGAAUGGCACACAAUGCUUUUUUACUAAUUGCAUAGCUCUUUCUUGGGAAGUUGAGUUAUUGCAUAGCAUCACUCUGUGUGAUGGCACUGAUACUGCUCAAGUCCUUUACUUCUUGUGUAUCGUUCCAACUUCCAAGUGGACUUGUCUUUUUACUUCUUCUUUUCUGAAUUACAAUUCUUUUGCUUGAUGCUGCUUAUUAAUCAUAAAGAUUUUGCCAUGUGCUGACUUUUGUUGCACAUAUCUGAAUCACAAGGGACUAAAGCAUUGCAAAGUCUUAGCUUGAUCUUGCUGCACAUGGUACUUCACCUUUUCCUCUUUACUGUUGAUGUGGAGUCGUUGUUCCUUACAGCAGUACAGCAGCCAUUUAAAGGGUUGCCAGGUAAAUUAAAGUAUUACCUGCCCCCCCCCCCCCCCCCCCCCCCCCCCCGCGUGUAAUUUUGCCUUCAAUUGUUUAAAUUGUAUUCUGGACUGCAAUUUAACCUGAUCUGAUGACUAUGAGCAAACGAUAAGUAUCCAUUCUCCCUUGCUCAAGGUUAUCAAAUUUUGCAUGUGUCCUGUGCUUCUUCUGUUUGACAUUUGUUAUGUUGCUUACUUGCUUAGAUGAAGAUUUGUGCAGGAUUACUAAUUGUUUACAGCCUCGUGCUACUUUUAAAAGCAAGAACAUGGAUAUGGUUCCAUGAGUAUGCAGUUGUCAAAGCAAGAAAAAAUAUUAUUGUUGCAACCAUGAUGAUGCUUUGCUGCUCUGAUUUUUAGUUACUUUAUAAAGUAACAUUUCGGUCAUGAACUUAUGGUUCGCCACAUUUCAGUACAUGUGGCUAUACUAGUUCUGCCACAACUUCAGGAAUUCAUUAGAAACUUCCUGGGCAUUUUUUAGUUGCUUAUUGUCUAGUUUAAUUUUGCUCGUUGUUGAGUUACUUUUUUGCCCUAUGAUAAGUGAAUGAACUCAUGUCUGUUAUCUACUGUCUGCGAGGUUUGACAUUUGAUUCUUAGGCGGGAGCUUGAGCAUUGAAAGCAUCACAUCUGAUGAAUUUGCUGUUCCACUGUCAUGAGUGAUGUCAAAGAAUGGGCACACAAUGCUGUUUGCUAAUUGCAUAGCUUUCUUGGGAAGUUGCGAUGUUGCAUAGCAUCACUCUGUCUUUGAUAGUACUUAUAAUGCUGAAGUCUUAACUUUGUGUAUUGUUCCAAGUGGACUUGUUUUGUUACUGUACCGAGCACCUCUGGCUUGUUUUGUAACCGGAACUGGUGGUUUUUGUUGCUGAAAAAGAAUCAUUCUGGUGCUCAGCCUGCACUGAAGCAUUGGUCUUCGCUUGGACGGCAGAGCCUCUGCCAUUAGCACCAGACUGUUUGGUUAUGGGUGCUUAUUUAUAAGUUGCUUAUUGUAGUUGCUUAUUUAUAAGUCUAGGUGUUUGGUUUGGGUUGCUUAUAUGAUUGCUAUGGACAUAUUUACCCCUGCCAUCCCAUUUUCCUCUACCCCUGAUAAUUACCCAGCUCCUACCCCUUGGUUUGGGCAGCGGCGGGGUGCAAGCGGCGGGCAGCCGCGGGGCGCGAGCGGCGGGCGGCGGGCGCGCGGCGCGGAGGCGGGCGGGCGGCGGCGGCGGGCGGGAGCAGCCGGCGAGAUGGAAAAUGGGCGGCGGGCUCAAGCCCACUGGACGCGCCGCCUGCUUCUCCCCCGACGGGCGCCGAAGGCUCGAUUCGUACAGCGGGCGCCCCUCCGCUCGUCCAGAUCCGGCGAGGGCGCGGGAGGAGGAGCAAGGUUGGCUGGGAGAAGGACGCGUCGGGAGUCGCGACGCCUGCUGCUCCCAGAUCUUGGUCGGAGGUAGACGACUGACGAGCUCCACGCCUCCGCCGGAUUCGAAGAAGAGCACGGGAGCGUCUGUGAGGCGGGCGGCGAGCGGGCGGCGGCCGGCGCAGUGGCGACGGGCGGGCGGGAGCGGCCGGCGGGCGGCGCGGGAGCGGGCGCCGAGCGGCGCGGAGGCGGGCGGCGAGCGGGCGGCGAGCGGGCGGGAGCGGCGCGCAGGCGGCCGGCGGAAGCGGCGCCAGGCAGUGGUGACGGGAGAGAGAAGAGAGAAAGGAGAGAGAGAGGAGAGAGAGAAUGAGGGUAGGAGGAGUAAAAGUGCCCCAUAAGCAAAAUAAGCAGCUCAAAACUUGCUUAUUUGCUUAUGCAUAAGCAACUUAUAAGCAACUCUAUAAGCAAGAGUGUUUGGGUUAUAAGCAACUUAUUUGCUUAUUUAUAAGUUGCUUAUGCAUAAGCAAUGCUAACCAAACAGGCCCUGAACUCUGAAAUUUGGGCUCCACAAAUGCAGCUCAGAAGAUAUUACGAAAUCGUGGACCGCUAUUCAUACGCACAACGGUUCAAGUUUCAAAAUCACAAUGCAGCGGGUUCCAAAAAAAGCUUCCAGAUUUUCGAAGGACUGUCUUUCUGCGUCACAUCUGGAAAAUAAACAUCCCUAGUUGCGAAAGAAUGUGUCACUUUGCAUCUCUGGGUGCCUGGAUCUAUACAUGGUCAUACUGAAUUGUAAAUAUCAAUUAGAAGCCUGUACUGUACUCAUUUUGUCGAUAUCAUCUAAAUUCAGCAUAUCACUCAAGGGUCAGGUCCCGUGUUUUCAAAGAACAAACAAGAACAAAUGAAAACGGGGAAAACACCUGAUCCUAUGCUAACUCUCAUGAAACAGGAAAACACUAGAAGAUGCUGUUUCACUUGCUUCCGUUAACCGGGAGAUAAACACCCUCUGCUGCCAACCAAAUGUUCUCAGCUCGCUUCUCUCGGACACCGCAGACCUGCACCAAAACGUAUCUGAACUUAACAACAUUCACUUGCAACAUGGCAGCAAGUAAAAAAUCGUAUAGAAUUAGAGUAGACUGAUCUGGGGUCUCCACGAUUGAUAAUUCAUGUUGACUGUCAAACCUUGUAAGCAUCUUUUGAUUUUGCAAGAAGAAAAUUUUGCAAGCAAAUCAAUGUCUCACCUCUUGCUGCCCACCACCAAGGCGAUUGUACUUCUUGUUGUGACUAUGCAGAUAACCUCCAGUAUCAACAUGCCUAAGCCUUAUUUUUUGAUCCCUUUUCCAUACUUUUCCGCUUCCUUCUAUUUCUAGCCUGAGAAUACCCAGAGGAAUAAGCUAAGCAACAAAUAAACAUACACCCACAUUCCGUGUAAGACUGUAAGUAAAUUGUACCUCCAGUAGUCACCAGUGUCUGAUAGUUCAUCCCCACCAUAACAGCUAACCUAUACAAAUGUUGAUAUCCAAACUUCAGAGCACAUUCUUAAUAUGAGAAAAUAAUGGAAACGAAACAGAGCAGACAGAAGACAUAAAACUGAUCUCUUCAAAUGCAAAGCAUUAGUCUAUGUAAGGUACUCAUAAAGACAGUAGACAUAAGAAGACUGGGUGAUAACUUCCCCAUAAGAAAACUGGGUGAUAACUUACUUCCCCGUAAAAAAAAGUUGAAAUAUAUUCAAAACAUCUAAGUAAUUGUAAGCCCCUAGCUUUCACAUUGAUUCAGUACAACAGCACUAAAAUGUGGCAUAAAAGCUGGUCUACUACAGAGGAAUAUAAUAUUUUCUCGGUCAGUUGGAGGCCAGAUGCCAUGCUGUUUCGUUAUGAGAGUAAAUUAUGUGCACGGCAUGGAUGUGCACGGCAUGGCAUGCUAUACUUUUUGAAGCACCAUGGCUAUCGUUUUAUCACCAUAGAACAAAUGAAAACAUUAUGCAGACGCUUAUAAAGUUGAAGUGAACUGUCAAAUUUUUAAAAAAAUGUUUGAGAACAAGCUAUAAAUGAAGCCAUAAUAUACACAUAAUGCUUCCAGACAAGACAAUGAGUAGUAGACAAUGCAGGAAAAUAUGUAAUACAGCGCAUCUCCAUCAAUUUUCUACACCACAAAGCAGCUGGCUAUUCAUUGUUAUAUAGAGAUUCAGAUCGGAUAUGUGAAAGCAUUUCAACUUUUGUUGAAAAUGAUUUAUCACAACAAAAAUGUUUAACAGCUUCAUUUCAAUUGGAAUUACAGGAGCUGAUAUGACACUAUUUUACUAUUUUCGUGCACUGUUCUAUCCUAGUUUAUUCAGAAAAGUAGAUGACUGGCCAAGAUGUUCCAUAGAAUCUGGAUACAGGGUAAUCACAUGUUGUACUCAGUACUUACAUAGCCACAUUCGUUAGAAGUGGUCUAAAGCAAUUGAAGAGAACUACAACUUUAUCUUUCAAUCUAAAUAAAGCUUGCAGGAUGUACAGAAUUUAAAUCGGCAUUCGAUACUGCAACAUGAGAGAUUGAUAUAAACUAACCUCAAGGUUACCAGAUAACGGUGAAGCGUGCAAGUGACUAUGCAGCCACCUCCGUGUCCUCAUGUGUUGCAACUUUACAAUGCUACCAGUCUCGAUGGCAUCACCUUGCUUAGACGAUGAAUCUGGAGUAGGCCUUAUGAUCUGCAUUUAAUAUGCCCAUCACCUUUAAGCUGACUGCUUAAAUGACUAUCGCAUAUGUAUCAAACUGUAACUGCUGGUUUUUCAUACCAAAUAGCGGUUAAAUUGGCAACUGAGAAAAAUACAUAAGUACCAGAUUUGCAAUAAUAUUUUUUCUUUCGGCACAUGUUUUACUCAUUCCAUUAAAGAAAUACCUGCCAUUAUAUUUUCAAAUAGAUCCUACAUUCUUGCUAAUCAAUACGAAUUAGCUAGCUCUUGAAAACUACAGGACAAUUUGCAGACUGAAUUCAAAGAUGCUGGUCAGAGCGCUGCACUCUCAUCAAUCAAUUUAAUUCAAUGCUACCUUCUGAAAUCUAUAGUAAGUCAAUUCAAGACCCUUUGAAUCGUUGAUCUUUUCAUAUAUAUUUCCAUUAAGAGUAAACAGGGCAUGCCCACUUUAUGUGCUGAUGAUGAAAGGGAGACGCACCCAGUAGCUAUUGGAGUCGUCUCCUUCGGGGAAUCCUGUGACGGACUGCUGGCCGCUGCCCGAGCCGUAGGGCACGUCGUGCGAGUGCAGCCGGUGCUUCGUCUUCUCGUGCAUCAGCUUGAUCACGCUCCCGUACGUCACCUGCAAACGCCCGCGCAGAUCCAGAUCACAAUCGCACCCAAACCCAUACGGAAAAAGACGAACCUCUCCGGCAGAUCUUAAGAUCCGGGACGCGCACCUCGCCGCCCUCUGACUCCACGGGGGCCGCUGUGCCCCUGUCCACGCCGCUGAAUCCGGCGCUGACCAGGAGAGCCACGGCGAGCGCGAGCAGGGACGCGGCCAUCGCGACGGCGAGCGCGCGGCAGGACCUCGGUGGAGACGAGGAGGAGGAGACGUCGGCCUUGCCUUUCCUCUUGGCGGCCGGGGCGGGGGCCGGCGGUGCCGUGGCCGCGGGCGGUGACCGCACGGCGCGCGCGCGGGGCGGGGCGUGGUGGGGCUGCUCGGUCUCGUGCGUCGGUGCGUGCGUCGUGAGUUCGCGGCGAGCUGAGGGGGAGACUCGGAGGAGUUCGGACGGGCCGUUGCUUCCGCGGAGACGAGGGGCCACUCGGGCCCCCUCGGACAGGGCUCCACGUGUGGCUGGCGAAUGAAGGGAAGCCACGUGUCCCUGAGACGUCACGAAGUGAGGUUGAGGCCGUCGGGUGCGAGAUGAGCGGUGAGGAUUUAUUCUGAGUGCAUCAGCUCGCACCAACGGGCUACCUUCGUGCGCUUGGGCCAGAAAGCAAACCCAUCCUGCUGGGCCUGGUAUGUCUACUAGAUUGGGCUGGCCUGGGUUGGUAUAGGGACGGCCCAUCUUAGUGUGACCAAACCACUUUGGCCCAAUACGUCUAGGCCGUGGGGGAUGGAUGGUGUGAUAUCGACAGGUCUUUGUCACAUUCAGUCAUGACUCAUGCCUCAUGCGGUCAUGCCCGUAAGAAUGCACAAAUAGUCAAGUUAAUUACAUGUAAAAAGUGUUGCACCUAGAUUGGGCAAGCACAUGACAAAAAAGGAAAGCGCUACCGCAGCCAGAAUCGUGCUGAUACCAUGGCCGCCGCAAUUCGGCAUUCACAAACCGAUACCGUAGCCAGCAGAGCCGGAGGCACACCGUUUUCUGCUCCUGCUGCAGGUUUUAGCACAAAGCAAUUGGGCAGACAAGGGCACGGGCACGGGCGACAUCCCCCAGGACCCAGCACGAAUUCAAGAUCGCGCACUGCAGUUUGGCAGUAAUCGUAAUCGUACAGUGCGUACACAGGUACUAAACUUUUAGUGAGGUCGUAAUCGUAAAUCCCAACCGGCAAGUCGGCAACCCUUCGCCCUAUUUGGUUAGCUCUUCGCGGGUUCUCAUGGGCUCAGACCUGCUAUUAGAAAACUAGACAAUUUCAGUACUAAUUUAAUCCAUUUUUUAACUAGACAAUUUCAGUACUAAUUUAAUCCAGAAAAUACUAUCAAGAUUGUGACAUCAAAUAUACGCAAGUGUUUGGGUGAUCUAAGCUUCAGGAACAUAUAGACAGUGCUGAAAUUAAAAGAUGAAGUGUAACAUAGGCAUACCCAGCGCCGUUCAUAGCUUUUAUUGGUGUAGUUGUUCCUCUCGAUGUAACAGAUGUCGUCCAAUGAGCAGUCACGUCUCUUCUAGACACUCCCCAAAAAUAAUUUCAGUACUAAUUUAAUCUAGAAAAAUCCUACCAAGAUUGUGACAUCAAAUAUGCGCAAGUGUUUGGAUGAUCUAAGCUUCAGGAACAUGUAGACAGUACUAAUCAGUGCUGAAAUUAGAAGAUGAAGUGUAACAGAGGCAUACCCAGCGCCGUUCAUAGCUUCUGUUGAUGUAGUUGUUCAUUUUGAUGUAGCAGAUGUCGUCCAAUGAGCAGUCAUGUAGACAGUACUAAUUAGUACUGAAAUUAGAAGAUGAAGUGUAACAGAGGCAUACCCAGUGUCGGCAAACUGUUGAAGGAGUUCUCCUUUUAUCCUCACAGGCAGAAGCUUAAUAGAGGAGUCAGGAAGUAACUCUCAUAACCAUGCAUGCAGGCACCGCUCCGCAUGCCACGCCUCAGCGGCGGCGGUGGCGGCGUGCGUGUGGCUCGCCUUCAUUCUUUUCUUAACUUCUCAAUAUAAGCAAAUAUAUUUCACGUAUAUAAGUCGAGUAAACAUUCAGUCAAAUUCUCAUGUGGUAAGUACACACAACAUUUAAUACGGGUCUUAGAAUUAUUUGAUUUAAUUAGAUAAAAUAUUAUGCUUGGCCCACGUUAAAUCCGACACCUGCCUCCACUUCCUGCGUGCGGUGUGCCGGCCGGGUCCGAGCUGAGAUUCAUCGAACAGCACAGAAUCUAUCAAUGUGAGUCGCACACACAGGAACAGAAUGACAGGGCCGCAGGACAAAAAACAGUGGCACUCCGUUCCAUUCCCGCGGCUACUGCACACCGCCGGCCGAGAGGUACGGUGCACGGCCUGUCUGCCAGUCAGCCCGGGCGUCAGGGAUCACACCAGCCGGCCGCUGCACGAAAUCAUUCUAUCGGCGCUUCAGAUGAAGCAUCCGAUCACUCCGGCCACUCCACCAGGCACCAAACUCGCUGCCAGGUGCCAGCUGAUUCGCCUCUCGUUCCCCGGUGGCUAGCAAAACAGAGGGCACCGGCACCCGCCUCGGCUGCUCCCGAUCGCUUGUUUUCGCCGUACCCACGGGCUUCGGAUCACAGGCGGGGGCAGGUGGCGUUCGCAUUCGCGCGAGGCCCGGUCCAGGAGGAGUAAUUGGCGGUCCCGGUCCAGUGGCCUUGGUGGGUGUCUGUCAUGGGUGGUUCGCUGCCCCGCGCGCGCGCAUCAUGACGAUGACGCCGAUCGCUUCCUCCGGCCGGGCGGGGCCGAGCGGCAGGCAGGGGACGGGAUCUGGUGGUCAGCCGUGAGACCGGGCCGAGCGCACGUACGUGGAUGCCGCGGGAACCAGAAAGCCGGCGGCGCGGGGCAGGUGCCAGCGGCACGGCUGUAUCGCGGACGCGCGUGCGCGGUGGCGCCGUGGUCCGUGGCUCCCGCCCGUGGUCCUUGGUGCUGACUGCUCUGCCGGGCACUUUGGGCCUUGGGAGCGUUGUGCAGCGAGUACAAUACAAGAGUUAGUCGAGGCUUCUCAAACUUGCGGCGUGGUAUGCUAGUAUGCCUUGGUUGCUCCUUGUGUUAUCCUGCCGUGGAACACCAAUGCGAUUUAGGGGCUACUUGCUUGCCGGCCGCACUCUGCCACACCGCAGGUGCGGCGGCGCCACGAGUUAGGCGCCGAUUAUCGGCGUCACAAGUUUGGUGAGAAAACGCGUAGAAAAGAGCUGAUUUUUGUGUGGCGAGCCAAACCUUCGGCAGAAACCAAGUAAGGAUCACAAUUUUAUGGUUGCGCCACAACUUUGGCUCGGCGAAGUGCGGCGUCCAACCAAACAGCUCCUUAGCUGAGACCUUGAAAUGUGGAAGUGGUUGGCCAUGUAUCAUGUAAAAUAUAUCUCCUACAUUGCUCAGUGAUUUAGUUAGGACAUGUGAGAUGUGGUGAGGUAUGGCAGGAUAUGAUGCCACCAUCAACAGGGACGCGGUAGGAGGCUGCGGGCGCGAUGGAUGCAGGAGGCUUGUGCAACAUGUGACAGGGUGCAGCAGGAGGCCUAUGCCCACAACAGCAUGUUAUGUGUUGCCGGGCAGCAGCUGGCAGCAGGUGAAGUCGUUGUGUUCGUCGUGAGCCGGUUGGGUAGAGAUGAUCACGGCGGUUGCUGGACUUGUCGUAGUAGGGGGUGUUAGACGCGAAAGUGUGCCGCGCCAAAUACUCGUCAUCUAGAGGAGCUCCUUGUGCAACAUUUCUAUACCAAACUAGUCAGACCGGUUUGGUAGGCCGAUCAGACGGUCUCGCCAGGCUCCCCGACGAGGAUCCAACGAACGCCCGCUCGGGAAGGAUCUCAUCGAGGCAGGUGCACCUUAUGUUACCCUAGGCUCGGUAAAACAGCUUAAGGCGCCUCCUCAUGCCAAGGAAGAGAAGAACAAUACGUGGGGUUGGAAAAAGUAGAGCAAAGAGAGAAAGGUAAAACGAUAAAAAAAAUAGAUUUGAUAGAUUCGAUUGGGAUUCUCCUCAAUCGUCCGUAGCCCUUUAUAUUUAUAGGGAGGGGAGGUCAUACCCCAUUAAAAGUCGAAAUACUAAUAAAUCUCAUGUCAAAAUAUAACUCCUAACUCAGACUACAUAGACUAAACCAGUUUGACCGGUUUUCCUAGGUGCAGAUCUUCUCGAGGUCAUAACUCCUUCAUCCGAACUUUGAAUCGGACAUUCUACAUAUCCAUUUUGAUUGUCUCGACGAGAUUUACACAAUGGUGAAGUCCAAUUUGCAUUUUGAGCACUUUAUCCAAACUGGUCGUACCGGUACGGAGACUGGUCCGGCCAUUCUUCCCAAUUUUGACCGUCAACAAGGGGUAGAUGGGCCCGAUGGUGCAUAGGGCUGACAGCAGCGAUGUUAAAGCAUCAUCGUAUUUCUUCUUAGUGGAGUAUUGUCCUCGUCGAGGCGCUCUAUCCACCCUUCCUACUAGUGAGAACUCCGAGUAAAUAUUAUGUCUAAAAUCUCUUAGAUGGGUAGCGGUGGCAAUACUUUAUGCUUUGCGUACUCCUUAGAGAUGCCGCCUUUGGAGUUCCUCCAUCUCCCUAGCUGCUUGUCUUCAGGGGCGAUGAUGUUAUAAACUAUCAAGACAAGUCCAUACAUGGGAACGAGCGGAUCUUUCUCCUCUCUAGCUCUGUGCUUGUGUAUCCCAUUCUAUGGUGACAUAUGAGGGAAACCUAACUCGUUAACAUGCUGCCUAGCGUUGGCAGCAAGAGGGAUUUGCUUGGAGAUUCAUUGUUGGCCUCGAGGCAUUUGGCCACGCAUAGCGACAAAGAGACAUGGUGCUAGACUGCUACGGUCGUGUUGCCGAGCUUUAGUUGUUUUCAUAUUUUCCUUUUCUUUUCAUGAUUGUGGCGUCCAUGAUCAUAGUAUUUGAUCAUAGUAUUUGAUCAUAGUAUUGUAUUUUUCUACUAUAUUAAUAGUAAAGCGUACUAUUUGGCACAGUUCAUUAAGAAAAAGGCAAAGUCUAUGCUCAAUAGUUUAAUGCCUUUGUGGAAAUUAACAUCGUUAUUGCAAUAGAAACUUAAUGUUGCACCCUCAAGAGCUUCUUUCCCGGUUCGGUACCAACGACAAGAUUAAAGCGAGUCAAUUUCAGCACGUUGUUGACAAGGCGGUCGGCAAACUCACUAUUUGGAGUGCAAGAACAUGACCAUGACAGCGCAUUUAGCACUGAUGAAAUCAGUCCUAACUUCACAGGCGGUAUACCUCCUAUCAACGCUAGAAGCUCCCAAAGAAGUGAUGGAGAAUAUUGACUCCACGUGAAAGAAACUUUUUCUGGGGAGGGGCGGUGGCCAUAACCGGUGGAAAAUGCAAAGUAAAUUGGGUACGGUCCGCCAUGCCAACUAGGCUAGGGGGUGUGGGUAUCCUAAACAUCACGAAGAUCGCAAGAGGGUUAAGGCUCAGAUGGUUAUGGCAAAAGUGGAAAGCGGAGGACAAGCUUUGGAUGGGAUCCGAAGUACCCUGUAACAACACAGAUAAAAAAACUCUUUGCUACAUGCACAACUAUCGACAUAGGCGAUGGCGCGAAAACUUCCUUCUGGAACAGUGACUGGGCGCAGGGGCAGUGAUCGAGGGACAUAGUGCCGCGCAUUUACUUGGUCUCAAGGAAAAAGAACAGGAGUCUGCAGGAAGCUUUAUGCAAUAGAAACUGGAUUAAGAAUAUCAACCUACAACACAGUACCUUCUCCGUGCAACACUUUCAGGAGUUCGUCCUCCUAUGGAAAGUUGUUCAGCAAGUGAUGCUUCGGCCCGGUGUGCACGACGAGAUCACAUGGAAAUUCAGUACUGACGGCACCUACUCCGCCAAAUCACCGAUGGCACCUACUCCGCCAAAUCAGCUUACAACGCACAGUUCAUUGGUUCGGCGUUCACCAAUUUUGACGUGCUAAUUUGGAAGGUAUGGGCUCCUCGAAGUUGCAAGACCUUUUCCUGGCUCGCAAUUCAAAACCGCCUUUGGACGACGGAUAGAUUGCAGAGCGGGGAUGGCCAAAUCAAACCAACUGCCCGCUAUGCCGCAACACGCAUGAGUCGGCCAUGCAUUUGCUCAUUGAAUGCAGGUUCACCCGAAGACUAUGGGUCAUGGUGGCCUUGAUUGGGUAUCUACUCCGGCAAUUCACCCGAGGGUCUGGGAGCACACAGACACAUUACAUCCCUGGUGGACGACAAGGGCCACAGCAAGUUGCUGCUCAAGACAAGGCAAGCAUUCCCUCAUCAUGCUCACUUUAUGAACAAUGUGGAGAGAGAGGAAUACAAGAAUUUUUAAUAACAGGGAAUCUACAAUCAACAUGAUCUUUACAAGACUUAAAGAUGAGGCCGUGACGUGGAUCAUGGCAGGAGCAAAGCAUCUGUCCACUCUUCUGGCGCGUUGUUGAUACGUUAUACUCUCGAAAGUGUAAUUAAUAGCCGUCUUCUCUUUUUUUCACCUUUUGGUGCUUUGUAUUUUUCCAAUCCGGAACUCCUUAUUUUUAAUAUAAUCGGCAACUCUUCUGUCCGGUUCAUUUCGAAAAAAAUUAAUGUUGCACCCUUGUUUAGCAAUAUUGUGAUCUGUUUGCAAGCAAUACAAGUGUCGAUACCUCUUAAGGAUUGUGAUUUUUGGAGUUGUUGGGUUAUUUCAACGUGGAUGCACAUGAACACCUGAACUCAUUCAAUAACCAAAAUGCUUUCUUUGUCAAUAAUUUUGUUACCGAAUGAGUUAACAAGCAAAAUUAAAGGAGUAGAACACAAACAGCAUCAAAGGAGGUCCAGAACCAGAAAGAAACAGGGGACGACAAAAUAUAAUGCUGAUCUAUACAUUUUUCUCUUUCUUUUUCAAUCUACCAUGUACUACCUAUCUAGAAUCUAGAACCACCUAGGAGCUCGGAGAAUCUCUUUUUGAUUUUUUUAAAUGAAUCAUCGUAUAUAGUGUGCACAAAAAAUGUAUUUCAUGUACUUUGGACUGUACAUAUUUUAUAAUAUAACAUAAAUGUAAGAAAUAUUAAUGGCUGACGCACUUAUAAGAGACUUUAUUCUAAAUCAUGUUAUGAAGAAAAAUGAUGGAACGUAGGUGUGCCUCAUCCACUUUGUCAUGACCACCUCUACCACCCUUCAAACGAGCUAAGUAUCGUUUGAGAGACCAAUGCAUAAGUUGGGUUCGGAAUGGCAAGGACGCUUAUAAACACUUCGCAUAAGUAUUGUGAGGAUUAUUUGCACUAUUGUUACAAGUGUGGAAUGAAGAAAGGGUUUAGUGUCAUCUCUUGAAUAGAGAGAAAGAACAUCCACUAAUCACCACAUCAAUGUGACGGUGGAAACCCUUUAACUAGAAUGGACUAUAGAUGUUAGGGGUCUUAGAUGCCACACCUUUUAUUUAGUGAGUUCUCGACGAAGAAAAAGAACGGAAGUGAUUGAACUAGAGCAAGAGAAGAACAAACUUAACACUGUUCUUUAACAAUGAAAAGGAACUACCCUCUUAGAUCUUAGUGUGGUGAUGGAAGCGCUAGGAUACAAAUCUACCAACAAAGAUUAAGAUCCUAAUAUUUUAUAUUUUACUUGCGCGUUAGUAAUUUUAGUGAUUUUAUUUGUAGGUCCUAGACAUGAGGCCAAUAGAUGACGCUAAUGCUUGCUAAGUGGUUAAGUGGUGUGCACACCCAGACCCCAGGGGGGACAUAAGCUUCUGGAGGAUCAACACGUCACGAUAAAAUCGCCUCCGAAAAUACUGGAGCAGUACAUGUCGCUGUAUUUCUUGAAGAAACUUUGGGACACCUUUGCUGGCAGGUGGUACCGGUACCGUGAUAGGCUGCAACUGCAAAGCCAAAGAGCCCUACACGCCCCAGGGUGCCGUGUCACCCUUCGGGAACGCCAGCCACACAGUGCCGUGGUCCGCGGCAACGCCCGGAGAGUCCCACACUCCCUACUCCCACAGCGCGCCUUCGGAAAUAGAGAAACGGAAAGAAAAGCCGCGGAUGGGGCGAAAACCUCGCCCCCUUUCCGUCGCCUUCGUCGUCUUCCUCCUCCCCUCUCCCCCUUCCCCCCGCCUCGGUGGGUCCGCUCCCCCGCCACGCGCCGGCCUCCUAUUUAACCGCGUCCCCCCGCCCCUGCUCCGCCACUCGCGCACCCAUCACGCCCCCAACCACUACUCCCUCCCCUCCGGAGCUCUCAUCGCCACUACCACCACAAGCAGCAGCUAGCCGAACCGGUGUGCUUGUCCCUGGUCCCUUGCGGCUUCCGCCACACGUCCUCCUGCUCGCUCGCUCGGUGUUGGUAGGCGGGCGCGGCGGCCAUGGCGCUGGCGGGGACGGGGGUGUUCGCGGAGAUCCUCGACGGGGAGGUGUACAAGUACUACGCCGACGGGGAGUGGCACGUCUCCGGCUCCGGCAAGUCCGUCGCCAUCGUCAACCCCACCACCCGCAAGACGCAGUACAAGGUGCAAGGUGCGGGCUCCCGCUUGUGCUUGCUCCCCUGUUUUAGCAUGCCCCCUCCGGCUCCAAGAACCUCGGGGAGUCGGGGAGCUGGCGCUAGUGCUGUCCCCUGGUUUGGGGAAACACGGUUGAUGGCGACGCAAACGUGCUAGUGCUGCUGUCGAAUUCCGUCGAUGUUCACAAAGCUAAAACUUGGCCGAGAAGCGCCAUUAAUGGCCGCGGCCGCUAUCGCUUUCCUUAAUUAUGCUGACCGUCUCUGAUAGAACCUCUUAACUGCUGCCCCAAAUAGUCUCGCUUUCCUAGCUUAAUUCUGCUGUCCCAAAGUUGAGCUAGUACUUCCCAAUUUAUCCAACCUUUCUUCAAUUAACCAGUUCUCCAAUGGAUUAGCGUUUAGGAUUUGCUAGUAACAAGUUCAGUGUUCAUGUGAACUGCGAAAGGAGUUGACCUCACAAUUUGCUGUUGGUCUCGGUCCUCUGCUUGUCCAGCAUGCACCCAGGAGGAGGUGAACAAGGUGAUGGAGGCGGCCAAGGUCGCGCAGAAGGCGUGGGCCCGGACGCCGCUGUGGAAGCGUGCCGAGCUCCUGCACAAGGCCGCCGCGAUCCUCAAGGAGCACAAGGCACCGAUCGCCGAGUGCCUUGUCAAGGAGAUCGCCAAGCCGGCCAAGGAUGCUGUUUCUGAGGUCACCAGCGGAUGGAAUUCCUGAUUGUGUUCUGCUCUAAUUCUUCAAUCGAGACUGCUAACAAGCAAAAGAAAUGUCUUGUUGGGUUCAAUAGGUGGUGCGGUCUGGGGAUUUGGUGUCCUACACAGCUGAGGAGGGUGUUCGCAUACUGGGGGAGGGCAAGCUGCUGGUUUCUGAUAGCUUCCCCGGUAAUGAGCGGAACAAGUACUGUCUGAGUUCCAAGGUAUAGCUGUACUACUAGUCUCUUGUUUUUGCUGGGCAUGCCCCAUUGUUUUCACUCUAUAGUAUUGCUUAUAUACCAUGUGUUUAUUCAGAAAUGUUAUGCCAGAACUAAGCUAAUUUAAUGUCGUAUUGAUGUUUAUCAUAUUACUUGAUCUGACCAACUAUAAAAGCUUGGAAUGGGCAAUAAAGUUUUAAUUUGUGCUGCAGUGCGUCAUCUCCUUUUUUUUUAAAAAAAAAAGGUCAUAUCAAUACAGUGAUAAAAUAUGCAGCUCGUUUUUUCUGAGGAAAUUAUGUAUCUUAUUGACAUGCACAGGAGGAUAGAAUAUUCCUCGGAUGCUGUUGGCAACUUGGCAUGUCUUGCUGAUUCCUUUUACGUUGUUUUGCCUUCUCGUUUCUGAUGUCAUUGCUAUGCCGUGAUUGCUCAGGUUUUGUGUUUUCUCUCCUAGUGUGAAGUGUUGGUUCCUUAUCCAUCCUAUUUUUCCUGUGUCGUUGAUUUUGUGUCUCGGCCAAACUCAACAUGGGCAUGGAUCUGCCUGUCUCAACUGUAAAUGUACGAAAUUGGAUGGAAAUUGGUCAAAUUCAACCAUAGGUCAAAGAAAACAUAGGAUCAAACAAGCGAGGACUAGUAUUGUGCCUCGAGCUGGGAGUAGAAAAUGGUUGGUUCCUCCUAAUUUGUAAAUCUUGCCAUGGGAUUGAAUCACCCAUUAGCAUCAUAUUGUUAGAUUUUCUGCAAGUCUUGCAAAAGCAGUAGUAGUCUAUUACUAAUGCAGUCACUUCAUUGUUAUUUGUUCAACCUAAGUAGUUGAGCUGGUUGUUCCCUCAGUGUAUUAUUGAAAUCAUUGAAGCUGUUGCUUUAUGCAGGGCUCUUUUCGCCUUUACUUUCGAAACCAACUUGCUGACUCUUGUGACCACUUUGCAUUCAGUUAUGUUUGUUAGAAUGUAGCUCCAAACACAAUACGUUCAGUUAUGGACUCACACCAAACUUUCAGUUACGGGCUCGAUAAUCAACCCAUAUUGUUGCCGAACACUGAUGUUAAACUGUAGCACCUAAUAUCCAUGUAUUUCGUAUAAAUUAACAAUUCUGGUACUUUUGUGUUGAGGCAAGUUAUAAAUGUCUAUAGCUGAUAAGUUGCCUAUUGGUUCUCCCUGAACUGCAGUUGUCUCCACCAAUAUUGUUUCCUUGCAUACCUAAUAUAUCAUCCUGUUCAUGUAGAUACCCCUUGGAGUAGUUUUGGCAAUCCCGCCAUUCAACUAUCCUGUCAACCUAGCAGUUUCUAAGAUUGGCCCAGCACUAAUAGCUGGCAAUUCUCUUGUGCUCAAGCCUCCAACUCAGGUAUCUGAUUACUUUUAGUUAAUAUUUAUCUCCCUUCCUGAGUGUGAAGCUAAUGCCUUUUGAAGUAAAAAAAAAAUCUUAUACGAAGUACUAUUGUUCAAUAGGGUGCAGUGGCUGCACUUCAUAUGGUACACUGCUUCCACCUGGCUGGUUUCCCGAAAGGCUUGAUUAGUUGUGUGACUGGGAAGGGUUCUGAAAUAGGUGAUUUUCUUACAAUGCAUCCUGGAGUCAACUGCAUAAGGUAAGUAUCGGCAGUGCUUGUUGACAGUUGAUAUCUUCAGUUUCAGUAAGACAACCUUAUUUGUUUCUUUGCUUCUUAGUUUUACUGGAGGUGAUACUGGUAUAGCCAUUUCAAAGAAGGCUGGAAUGGUCCCUCUUCAGAUGGAGCUUGGAGGGAAAGAUGCUUGCAUUGUGCUAGAGGAUGCAGAUCUCGAUUUAGUUGCUGCAAGUAUAGUAAAGGGUGGCUUCUCAUACAGGUACUGAAUAAUGAUGUCUUACAUUUAUAGAAUAAACACAUUUAUCUUACCACUUCAUUUGAUCCAUCAGACACUCAGACUUGUCGAAAUCUGCUCAUCACCAUUCCUCAGAAGAGUGAAAGUAACAAUUGGAAAUUAAUAAAAGCUUUUAGCUAACACAACAUGGCAUGUGGUAUCCAAGUCAGUGUCAUGAACACAAAAUAGUGUAUCUUCACAUUCUUUAUUUCCAUGCACCAACUCUUAUGCUAUGACUUUCAAAAGAUUGAGUAGAUGCAUUACUCUCAUUGUUCUAAUCGAGACCAGUAUUACUACUAAUGUGAAUAACAUACUCUCCCAUCUUUGGUACUCCUUGAUAUUGUACUCAAGUAUGUUGUGAUCAAUGCAGUGGCCAGAGGUGCACUGCUGUGAAAGUAGUGCUGAUCAUGGAAUCAAUAGCCGAUGCCGUGGUACAGAAGGUUAACGCCAAGUUGGCAAAACUGAAAGUUGGGCCACCUGAGGACGACUCUGAUAUCACCCCAGUUGUAACAGAAUCCUCAGCCAACUUCAUUGAGGGCCUGGUGAUGGAUGCAAAGGAGAAAGGAGCAACUUUCUGUCAGGAGUACAGGAGAGAGGGCAACCUCAUCUGGCCGUUGCUGCUGGAUCAUGUCCGUCCUGACAUGAGGAUCGCAUGGGAAGAGCCUUUCGGCCCCGUGUUGCCUGUAAUCAGGAUCAACUCAGUUGAGGAGGGCAUCCACCAUUGCAACGCCAGCAACUUUGGUCUGCAGGUUUUUCCCUUCUCCCCUCGCCAUUAGUAGCAUACCAUUACCAUUAUCUAGCAUCUUCAACUGAUUGUUUGUGCACGACCUGUUUCAGGGAUGUGUUUUCACAAGAGACAUCAACAAGGCAAUCCUCAUCAGUGAUGCAAUGGAGACUGGAACCGUUCAGAUCAACUCUGCACCUGCUCGUGGACCUGACCAUUUCCCCUUCCAGGUACUUGCUAUCACGAUGACAGUGGAAUUGGAACAACCAGCUGUGACCAUCAGUUUGCGCAAAGAGGUUAAUUUGCUCCAGGUGUUUAUAAUCUUAUGUUCUCUCUGGAUUUGCAGGGUCUGAAGGACAGUGGCAUUGGAUCCCAGGGGAUAACUAACAGCAUUAACAUGAUGACCAAGGUGAAGAGCACUGUCAUAAACCUGCCAUCACCAUCCUACACCAUGGGCUGAGCUGUUCAUGUAGAGGGAAUGAGUUGUAUGUUUUUAUAGCCGCAAGAGCACCAUGUAGAGAAUUCAAAUGUUCCAUAGCCACGUGAAAUUCGUAUGCUAUUUACACUUCGGUUCUGCCUGUACCAGAUCUUCUGCAUGAAGAAUAAAGUGCGUUAAAAGUAAUUUGUCUUGAUGCUUUUUGCCACGGAACUUUUUUUCGCCACGAUAAAAAAACCUAAGAUGCCAAAGUAGUAACAAAGAGAACAAUAACUAUUAAAAAUCAGCAAAUUUGCAAAAAAAGUUGCUCCGCAGACUUUUGGCCAUUCGGUAACUUCUCCAUGAAACACGCUGGUGUAUUUAUAUCAUGAUAUACAAAUGUAUUAGAGAACCGUACAAAAUUUUUACGCUUGCAAAUCUAACUAGAAAUAUUCCUCUAACACUAAAUAAAAUGAAGGGCAAAUCUCCUGCGUUUUCGUGAUUAAACAAAAAGUAAAUACUCCUCUAACAUGACCAUAAAGUACAGAAAAAUUGGCAUUAUUUUUCGGUAACCUUUCAGAAGCAAUUGUUUUUCCCCUUUUCUGCAACCUUUCUAAAACACAAUUGGCAUGUGGCAUAGUAAUUCAGUCAAAAUUUGGGAUGUGCAUCGAUGCUGUUAGGAAGUGUCUUCUAAGUCACUGUAUCGUUCGCCCCUCCAACGAUCCUCUCAACUAGCCAACAGUAGUCAUGGCAUCAUGCAUAAUCCGGCAUGAACUUCCGAAGGAAUUUGAUUGGCUGGGAUUCCUCAGGAGCGAGCUCGUCGAAUGGAACGUAGUAUCUCUCCUUGUCGUACACAUGGCAUCUAGUCAGUAUCGUCUUCAUCAAUCGCCAGUUCCAGUUGGCUUCAUUGACAUACUGCAAGUAGAACGCAUCCAGAGAAUGAGACCAGAAUGCAAAGAACCAGAGAGAUGCACAGAGAUAGGAGAAAUUCGAAGUACCUUGCCCCAGUUCUGUCUGAUGGAGUCAUAGGCAGCACGAAGGUUAUAACUUGGAAUUCUUGGAGAAAUAUGGUGUGGGACAUGUACAUUUAUGUCAUGGCACAGGAUCUCUAUCCUGUAAAAUUCAAUUAGUUAGAUAAAAUUCAAUUCACGAGGCAACAUUUUCCCAUGAACUUAGCACUUAAGCCAAGACGGAUCCUUUAUCACAAAAUAUCCAAACAGCAUUCUGUACUUGAGCUGAAAUUUUACCGAACUAUAUGUCCUAUGAAUAAUUCUUAACUAAGACAACGUACAAUUCCAUAGUCAAAUAACUUUGUUAAAAUAAAGCAGGGUUGAUGGUUUACAAGCUCGUCCAGCACAUCCUACCAAAUAUGAUCCUUCACUUUGGCACAGAAUUUUAAAUUUUGAAGGUGAGAUGAAACAGAGAAGCAUGAUCAGUGUCAUUUUGUUGGAAACAUUUUCAAAUCUCAACCACUUCCUGUGCAAUAAGAAUCAUAAUGGAAAACCGUUUGGCUUUUUACAUUGUUAUCUCGAUACAAGUCACAUGUUCAACAAAUAAAAGUUGUCCUUAGUGUGAAUGCAAUGCAAUUGAAAAACGCACCAUUUAGGGUAGGUACAAUGAACUGUGCCAUUUAAUUGAGCUUGUGCAGCAUUCCACUCUUCCGAGGAUUUGAAUGGUAUAUGGGGAGCCGUGUGAUGUACCAUUGUAAAAGUGCUCAUCUGAAAAGGAUCAUUUAAAAGAUAAAGUAUACUUUCAGUUUCAGUAUAAAAAGUAUUAGAUAAUGCAGGUAGUUUACAGUUUUUGACACUGGUUAUUAAUUAGCCUUUUAGCUAUGCACAUUUCACUCUGUCCAAGGCUCCAAGCAGCUAAUGCCAGAAUACCAAAACAUUGUCUGGUUUACCACUGGAAUUCAAUCAAUGUUAGUAUGAUAAAUCCAACCUAUGUUCUGAUCAAUAUUUCAAUCAGGGGUUUCCAAAACAAAAUCUGUUGCUAGUUUCUGAUUUCUGAACACUGUAACUGUAAAGCUCUAAUAAUAGAAAAACAACUGCAUAUAAAAAAAUUACAUUCUGAUCUGAAUACCAAAAGGAUAAGCAAUGGCUACUGGGAUACAAAAGCAGGUGAACAGUAUGCCCAUUUGCCUUUAAACCUUCAGCAAAUACUUUGAUAAAAGUUGUGCAAAAGGGCACCUCUUUCUAGACCAUCUGAUGCACAACAGUAAUUUAUAAUAUUUAACCAUGAAACAAUGAAUUAACAUGACUUCUCCACUUAUUUUUAUAAAACAAUAUAAAUAAAGUCUAAUAACAUGACAAUAAUUGCCAUGGACUUGGACGCCAUGUACAUUUCAACAAAUAAAGGUGACAGGAAACAGGAAACGCUAAAUAUUAUGAAAAACUAUAUUAGAGUUCAAGAGCAUGACAACAGUUACCAUGGACUUGGACACAGCAUAUAUUAAAUGAUGGUGGAAAUAAGAAAGUUUACCCAAAAAUGAUAAACCAUCCAUGGCAUAAACCAGAACUUAAACCAUCCAGCCAGUCCUGAUUUGAGAAUGAUCAAAGGCCAUCCAAUCGACAUGAAUGCAAACACACAUGCUAAGCUUAUCUUAACCCUUGGAACUUCAUUUGGUCUGAAUUUUUUUAGAUCAAAGUGCCAAAGCAACCUGAGAGACAGAUGAUCAAUAGUUAAAAAAAAUAUUGUAUACUGAAGCAGUUCUUCCUGCAAUACAGAAAUGAUUGAAAAAGAAAUACCAGUGAGCAAUAGACAUCCAUGGCCUGAUAGGGCCGUAGCCAAAAAUAAUUGCCUUCCUCAGAAAAGGUGAUGAUUCAAUUUCCUUUUGCCAAACAGGUUGCCAUGCAGUAUCUUCUAUCAACCUGGGCAUUAUGCAAAAGUAAAUAUUCAGAAUGACAAAUUAGGACCUUGCUGGAAAUUUUCCAGGCUUUCAUGUUAUAAUAUGAGUACAUGAUUUCAUCCAUAUUCCUACAGACAAUACAAAUAUUAAAGAGUUGUAUAAGUUACACUGUGAUAUAUAAACAAUUUGCAGUAUAUCUAUUAUCUGUGCAUGGUGAAUGUCGAAGAACUAGUAUAAGCAUUAGAUAUGCUACAUGAGGGAUGAAAUAGUAUCCAUGAAGUUGCUCGUUUGACAUUUACUGGGAUUAACUGAAAUCUAUAAAAACCUUCCAGUGGAAGUUCAAAAACUGGAAGAAAAAAAAAUUAAGUCUACAUGAAGUGCAAUAAUAAAAGCAGAACAGGUAACAGAAUGCUGCAUGAGUACGAUGUGAUGAAUUCUUGUUACAAUGCAAUGCAGGAAGGAAGCACUUCUAGUAGGAAGUAGCAGUUAUACUACUUGAACCCUGAAGAGCAUUUCUGCAUCAAGAUAUUAUUGGAGAUUAACCUACAAGCAGGUAUGUACAUACAUAUUUGUCUUGGCAUGAUGUCGGUCAUGCUUAAAUCUCCACGGUUCAUAAGGAUAUAUCAAAGGCAUGAAUGCUAAGGUUCCAACGAUAUCUUCCACCAACUUAUUCCUUGAAAAUGAUUUGUGGGCACAAUCAUGACCUAUGACAAAAAACUUUACAAAAGCAUCAAUUAGAAUGUGAAGAAACCACCGAGAAACAAACAUGUUCACAUUCACACACAAGCUUUAGAGAGCAAGGGAGGGAGCUAACCCCGGUCACUGCUGUGCCAGUCCAAGCCCAAGCCAAGGGAAGAAGAUACCAUGGAGAUUUUGCAAUGAAAAAUAGGCCCAACGCGUAAGAAGUGACUGAUAUUAAAACCGAUGUCCAAGCCUUUAUAUCAUUGAUUUCAAAUACCUAGCAAUAGCCAAAUUUAUGUAAGGAUUUGUGCAAAUAGAACACCAAAAGCACACUGGUGUUGGCAGCUGGAACCUCUUUAGGUAGAGUAUCCAUGACAUCUUUAAGGGUGACGCUAUCUGGUAGUUCUUCUCCAAUUUGUGUGAACCCAAAAUCUUCAGCCAUUUGCUUCCUUUUUUCCUCAUCAUCUAAUAUUGGUGCAGCAAUAGGCAGCACUGCUGCUUGCAAACCUCCUCUUUGGUUCAAUGGUAAAAAAUGGUGGUAGCUUCUUCUGUUAUAUGCAACAUCUCUCUUCACAAGAAAAUUACCUGAUGAAAAUAAGAGUGCCACUGUUAGGGACCUGGAGGACCCAGCUGGGCCGGUUGGGCCAAAGGCUAGCCCGAGGCUGGCUGAGCCAAAGGGGGCCCAGAACUGGCCCAAAAGGACCCGCGGGUACUGUAGCACGCCGGCUGCCGUCCGUCUACUUAGGUUAGGAAUUAGGAAGAGUCUAGAUAAUAGGAUGGCUUGCAAGCCAAGUAAGUUAAAGUUCCUUGAGAACCAAGUCGUAUCCCCUCUAUAUAAUAGAGGCCCCAUGUACCAAAUGAAUCAAGCAAGGAAUUAAGGGGUAAAACCCUAAAGCUCUCUCUCCCUCUAUCCCUGCGCCGCCCCCUCCCCCUGCGCCUCCUGCGCAGCCCCCCUCCAUGGCCGCCAGCCACCUCCCCCUCCCUCUCUAGGCCCCAGAUCCAAGGGGGUAGCCAAAACCAUAACAACCACUUUGAAAGCUGUUGAAAGGAAAUGAGGAAGAUAACAAUUCUCACUAAGAUAAACUCCAAUGAGCCAAACAACAAGCCAGUUAUCUACGUCUAUGGUACAAUUUAUUGGCUUUAAACUUUAAUGCCAUCCUGUCUCAACUCCUAACACAAUAAAUUCUCAGGUACAUCGCAAUUUAUUAAUUUGCAUUAGCACAGACUAUGAGACUAUGGAAUUGGAAUUCAAUUGCAAGUUAUGGCAUGAUAGACCAUAGACCCUGUCUCAGGAGCUGCCGAAUUGUGAAACUGGUAUCUUAAGGCUUCACUGUUUCCCAUCAAGUAGUACUACAACCAACCACUCAAAGGCCUACAUUUUGACCAAGAACGCAACCCGGCAAUGCAGAAUCCACUACCAAACGGCACCUGCGUGAGCAGAAGCGUACCUGCCGGAGCUCCAGUGGCUGCUCUCGGAGGCCGCAAUCUACUGGCCGGCACCUGAACAUCAGCAACAAAGGCCAGUUAAAGGCCUCAGAGGAGUUAGAGCGAACGAGUGGUGAGCGAUGUAAUUUGGAACCGAGCCAGGCAGUCAAGCACGCAUUCUGAACAAUUGACGAUUUGACAUGUAUAGGAUGAGAGAGAGCGGAGAGCGUCCUCGUACCCGCAAGGAGGGGAGCUGCAGCACGGGGCCGGCGGAGACGCCGCUCGCCGUCGCCAUCCCCCCCUCUCCGUGGCGUGGCGGCGAGGAGCGCGGCGCGCGGGGGUAGUGGCGAGUGCCGAGAGCUGCGGGCGCCGGUUUGGAUGGACGGGGGUGCGGGCGGCUUUGGGUGAGAGCCAGAGAGGAUGUGGCGAGCGCGCGCCGCGGGCCGCAGAGAUGGGACCGGUCGGCUCGGUCCAGCCGCUGCGGGCCUGCCGCUGCGCCACAGGCUGGGGGCGCUGCGGCCUGCGGCUGCUCCAACUUGUGGAUGGGAGCCGCCGCGCCGCCGAUGGGACUAUGGGAGGAAAAGGACAGGCGGCGCAGCCUGGGUUCGGGCUGGUGCGUGGUGGGUCCCGGAAGUCGGCGUUGGCGAAGUUACCACCGUCCGUCAGGCCCAUGAUAUCGGCCGGAGUAGUGUGGGUGGGUGGGUGUGGUGGUCACUGGUCAAGUGGGAUGCCGGGUGAGGAGGGCCUCGCGCGGUGGGAUCUGGCUGGGCCUGUUUGAGAGGAUGACGGGCCUCGUAGUGGACUACGCACGCGAUGAGAGAAGGCAGGCCUGCGAGCUGCGCACAAGGCCGAAACGUCACAACCAGGCCCAUAAUAGAUUUCUGCAGUACUCCCUACAGUAUCGAUAGUCACGCUCACUGCUGCUUGAGUUGAGUUGAGGUCGAUCACAAUUCACAACAAACUUUUAUCACGUUGUUGUGGUCGCUGUGAGCCCUGUCAGUGUUUACGAAGAACAUGAUCAGGAUCCGGUUAGGAUGCGCCUGGUUGACCUGACAAUUACUGUACAACUUGCUAACCUUAGAGCAACUCCAAGAGUACUUCAAAAAAUUCUUCCUAUUAGGGGUUCUUCCAAAAAAAAUUUCUCCAAAAAAUAUAUCAAUCCAUAACAGAUCGCUAAUAAAUAGGUCUCAAUAUUUAAAACAGGCCACGUCAUCGUAUUGGGCCCAUCAGAAGGGACGCGCGAGCGUGCGGGGAUCAGGAUUGGAGGAGGAAUGCCAACACUAAAAUAUACACGGUGGUAGGCUGUUUUUUAGCGUUGCUAAAAAAUUGGGAAGGUUUGGGUAAACUGUUGGAGUUCGUUUUUCUCUUUUUUCUAAAAAAAAUAUUGAGGAUAAGAUUAACAGCCUUUUAAAUUGCUCUUACCGGUUUCUCGCGGCUAACAAGUUUACGAUGCUUCUGUCAGAAUUCUCUUAUACAACACUACGGACUGUCUAGCGAGCCAUAGCAACGGAACAGGCUGUGGGGUGAUCACUGAUCACGUCACCUCGUGCACGAGCCUCUGUUUUGGUCCAAACGGCGCUGAUCCGGAUGGCAAAGCCGCUAAUGCAGCAGUUCUUUUUUCCUGCGUCCGUGUACGGCACUUCCGCAUGGGCGAACCGCCGCCGCUCGUGUGGCUGCCGCCGCUUACCGAUCCAUGCCGCCCGCCAUGAUAUCCCAAGGAUAACGACGGCACGAGAGGGCCGCGCAGGUGAAGGGAUCGACCGCGACGCGACAUCGGCCCGCCUGGUGGCGACUGGCGACAUGGCGCCACGCAAAAGUACAGGACGUGGCGAGUAUCGCGUCAGGCCUCUGACCCCGACGCCUUCAGCCUUGUGCGCAGGCCGCAGGGGAACACGACGCGACGAGAGCGCAGGGCGCCGGCCCACAGCGCCCCGUCUCCGGCCGUCCACCCGUCAGCCCUGCCCACCGCAGGGUAGGGGCGCACAGCGACCGCCGCGACACUUGUCGCCGGCCUAGCGGCGAGGGGCGCGCGCGUCCGGCCGCGAGCCCGCGAGAGGGAGCGGGCGGUCGGCAUCGACGUCGACGCCGGGGGGCGGUAGGCGCUGCUAGCUCGGGUAACCCCUGCUACCGCUAGGGACUGACGUGCUGGUUAAUGGUUAGCACGACGCCACCCCUGCCGACCUGUGUCCCACUUUCAAGGCUCCAUGAUAUGGAAUUUGGGAUGAGCAUUUGAUCUUGUGAUUAUAUGCUGCUACGCACAAUUAAUCCCUCGUUACGUUUUCCACGUGACGCACAUGGAACACGCGCGUGACGGAGUCCAGCGUUUUUAUCAGUCGAGUGAUCCAGCAACGCUUUCGAUUACCGGGUGCUCAGUAUUUUGUUUCUCUGGUGAUGUAUCAGUGAAUGGAAGGGAUCGGAGCAUCUUGCUAGUGCUAAGAUGCUAAUCGAUGAAAUGGCAGUGGGACCUUUUGUUGGAAUCAAGGAAGCUGCAGCAGAUAGGUGCAGGCGUUGUAUUGCCGUGUCGUUGUCGCUGACGUGUGCGCUGCCGUUUACUGGACCUCUGGAAGCAGGGAUCCUUGGCGUGUCGAAUUUAGCACGACAAGAGUUGAUCAUCUUGUAAAGCUGGGAAAAUUGGUGUUUUACAUUGCUACGUGCUCCACAAAUAUACAAGGACCGCUCGAUACAAUUCGGCAUUCGUGAUCAGGAACUAAAGCCGAGCAACACUCCGUUUCUAAGAACGGGAGUUUGGGGAUUGAAGAGGAAGCUAUACAAACUGCUACUAUGGGGGUGUUUGACUCCAUCUUACUAAACUUUAGUUGCUAAAGUUUAGCAACUUUUAGCUGCUAAACUGCCAAACACCCUUGCUAAAAUUUGCUAAAGUUGAGUUGCUAAAGUUUAGCACUUUAGCAAGUUUUUGGUUGCUAAAACUUGCUAAAAGUUGGGCUGGACAACCUAUACCCCUCAUUUAUUGCUUGUCUCCCCCCUCAUGCGCACAGCUCAUUAAAUGCCUUUUAGCAAGAGUAUCCAAACAGCUUUUGCUAAAGUUUAGCACCUAAAGUUUAGCAACUUUUAGCAACUAAAGUUUAGCAAGAGAAACCAAACAGGCCCUAUAUCUCUGUUUCCCAGUAAUAUGGAGGUCAGAAAGGACAGAAGCAGUAAAUGUGCGAACGGGAGAAAAAUAAGUUGCAUAGUAUCAUGGAACUUUUGUACACUUAUUCUAAAAAUAAACGCAUGCACAGAUGCCCACCCUACCCCUUGAACACUAAGAUUGAACCCCUCGUCAAACCUUGACCCUUUAUGCCAAGUACCGGUGGAAAAGUCAGCAUUAGUCCCAGUUGGACAGACGCAUAUGUUUCGAAAAUCCAACCGAGAUUAAUCUUUCGAGACUACCUUUAAUCCCGGUUGAUAGUACCAACCAGGCUAAAAAGGGCUAAAAAGGUUCAAAAACUAAACAAAAAAGUGGGCUACCACCAUCCUACCUGCUCAUGCCGCUUCCCCCCUUGGCUCCGCCUCGACCACCGUACCACCGAGCUCCAACUCCACCACAGAAACAAUCAAAACAAUUAACACUUCACAAAUUGAAGCAAUAAACAUGCUCAUCUUACAUGAACAUCACACAGGUGAGAACACACAACCAAUCAAUUCGCACAAUAUUCUGACUCGCAACAUAUGAGUUCGAUUUCAUUCACAACACAGCACAAUCACAAAUGAAUCGUUCACAAACAAAUCAUGCAUUACCACUCACAAAGGAAACAUUCACCAGCUUCUCGUAUCCACAAGCUCCCCCCACUCGCCAUCUCGCCCGCAUGCGCGCAGGGCCAGCGGUCGGCGGCUUGGGCCGGCUGGGGAGGCUGCGCGCCCGGUGGCAGCCAGUGGAGGGAGGAGAGAGUAGGAGAGGGAGGAGAGGAAGCGGUGGAGGGAGAGAGAGGUCGGUGGUGGGGAAAGGAUAAGGUAGUGAGGAGAGAGAUGAGGCCAGUGGGGUGAUAAAGCCCGCUAGGCUAGUGCGGAGAGAGAGAGUCCAUCGAAGGGAAUAAAAAAAGAGGGAUAUAGUCCCGGUUGUUGGUUUCAACUGGGACUAAAGAUCGCCAUUUAAUCCCGGUUGGAACCACUAACCGGGACUAAAUGAGUGGCUUUAGUCCCUAUCAAAUUUCCUCGUUGUUCCUAACCAUUGCAAUCGGGAUUAAAGGGGGCUCUUUAGUCCCGGUUGAUAUUACUAAUUGGGACUAAAGAGCCCCCGUCGGAGCUAGUUUUGGACCCGGGACUAAAACUCUUUUAAUCCCGGAUCUAAAAACGACUGAGACUUUAUAGCUGGAUGGAACAGUGAAAAUUAAGUAAAAAAAUAAGCAACCAGCAUCAACUCAUUGAGCAACCUGGCUAUGUCAUCGUUCAACCUCAUCUUGAGGUAAAGCCUGCUAUGCCAUGUGCAUCACUUGAAUGGUGGUCCCUCUAGCUCCAAUCUCAUCUUGAGUUCUCCCUCAUCGUUUUGCAGGUCAAAAAAAAUGUUCAAACUCCGCCAUGUAUCAGUUGAAUGGUAGUAGCUCCAUGGCCAUUACUACAUGACAGUAGUACACAAUCAGCUUUGCCUAAAAGUUCCAAUAUUUCUUCCUCACGACUACUUAGUACGUAUAAGCCUAAUAGCCUAUAAGGUAUACGUGUGGGACCAAAUUACAAAGAAGUCACAAAUAAAUCCAUCUAAGAAACCACUUCCAUAGUGUGCACAACAAGAUGGUCGCUGGGUCUUAUGCCUUCGUCAUACUCGCAUGGCUUCGCACCGCUCAUCAUCGACGACGGUUGUUUGCAAAUUGCAACGACCUUUGUUCGACAAAAGAAGUUCGUUUGCAAAUUGCAACAAUCACAGGUUUCGUAUGGGCUGAGAGAGAAAAAAAAUCUCAGGAAGCACCAAAACUGUGGGCCGUGGACUGUAGCGUAGGCACCCGCUGCGUUAGCGUUACCGUCGCGGUUUCCGGUGUACCACGCCAACCUGGUGUGCUAGACCGUAACGGGUUUCCACCAUGCCGCUCGUGGCGUAGCCGGCAGCCUAGCCCAAUCAGGGCCCGUCCGUUCCGAGCCAGACGACGGUCCAGCCCUUCAAUCAUAGACGACGGUCCGCCCACGGCUCCAGUACACCCCUAGGGGCCCUGCCUCUGCGGCCGCCGCCCUAGCCCGCCCGUUAUAAACCGGGCGCCGCAUCGCCGAGCCAAUCUCACACGGACUCACCACCCAUCCCACUAUCCCAGGCUCCCACCCUCCCACCUCGCAAGAGCCACCGCGUCGCCCGUGUCCCUGCUUCUCGCGCCUGCCCCGAUCUACCGCCGUCGAGGCGAGCGCCCCCGCGCCCCCAGGGAAUGCGGAGCGAUGAGGCGGCGCUCAGGCACUGACGUCGCCGGCCAGCGCGAGCUGCGCGGCGGCCGCACCUGCCACCGCAAGCACGUCGAGGACGGGUAGACCCAUCCCACCCUCCCUUCCCCGGCGCUAGUCGUAGGGUACAGUUUGUUCGUUUUUCUCUCUUUGGAAUUUUGGAUCGGAAGAAGAAAUUAGUGGAUCGAUCGAUUCGAUUCGAUCGAGCAUUCGACCCUCAUGGGUGAGGGGGACGGGGAUGUGAAGGCGGGCGGGGUGCUGCAGGGCCGCUACGAGCUCGGCCGCGUCCUGGGCCACGGCAACUUCGGGCGCGUCCACACGGCCCGUGACCUGCGCACCGGGCGCAGCGUGGCGGUGAAGGUGCUGUCCAAGGACAAGGUUGUGCGCGCGGGGAUGAUGGAGCAGAUCAAGCGCGAGAUCGCCGUCAUGAAGCGGGUGUCCCACCCAAACAUCGUCGAGCUCCACGAGGUGAUGGCCACGCGCUCCAGGAUCUACCUCGCGCUCGAGCUCGUCCGCGGCGGGGAGCUCUUCGCCCGGAUCGUGCGGGCCGGGCGGGUGAGGGAGGACGUUGCGCGGCGAUACUUCAGGCAGCUCGUCUCCGCCGUCGACUUCUGCCACGCGCGCGGCGUGUUCCACCGCGACCUCAAGCCGGAGAACCUCCUCAUCGACGAGGCGGGGAACCUCAAGGUUGUCGACUUCGGACUCAGCGCGCUCGCCGACCACACCCGCAGCGACGGCCUGCUGCACACGCUCUGCGGCACGCCGGGGUACGUCGCGCCGGAGGUGUUCAGGAACAAGGGGUACGACGGCGCCAAGGCAGACAUCUGGUCGUGCGGGGUCAUCCUCUACGUGCUCCUCGCCGGCUCGCUCCCGUUCCCGGAGGACAACAUCGCCUCCAUGUUCAAGAAGAUGAGCCGCGGCGACUACCGGUGCCCGCCGUGGCUGUCCACGGAGGCGCGCAGGCUCAUCCCCAGGCUGCUCGACCCCAACCCCGACACCCGCAUCACCAUCGCCCAGAUGGUCGAGACGCCGUGGUUCAAAAAGUCGUCGUCCGUCCCGAGGCCCGUCAAUGCGGCCGCCGAGCCGCCGGCCGAGCCUGCCUGCGCCGGGAAGGACGGCGGCGACAAGGACGAGCCGCCGGAGACGCUGAACGCGUUCCACCUGAUCUCCCUCUCCGCGGGUUUCGACCUCUCGCCCCUGUUCGACGUCGAGGGUGGCUCCGCAAGGGGGCACCGGGAGGGCGGCAUGCGGUUCGCGACGCGGGAGUCGGCGAGCGGCGUCGUCUCCCGGCUCGAGGAGGUGGCCGCCCGCGGCGGUGGGCGGAUGCGGGUGACCAAGAGCGGCGCACGCGGCGUGCGGUUCGAGGGCGCGGAGCGCGGGGGGCCCAAGGGCCGCCUCGCCGUGGCCGCCGACAUCUUCAGCGUGGCACCGUCCGUUCUCGUGGUCGAUGUUAAGAAGGACGGCGGCGACACGCUCGAGUACCGGUCCUUCUGCAGCGACGAGCUCCGGCCGGCGCUCAAGGACAUCGUCUGGGCCGCUGCCGACCCGGCGCCUGCCGCCGCCGCCGUCGUGUGACGCCGCACCGCCGCGCGCUCAUUGCUCUGUAUCGUAGUGCCAUGAUGCCAUUGUUUAGUCAGUGUCAGUUCCAUUUUUCACUCAAGUGAUUGCUUCGCCGUUCUCGAUUCGAUAAUGACGUGAGGUUGCUGUUUGUGGGGGCAGUAGCGAGAGGAAUCUGUAUCUUGAUCGCUGCCUAGAGCGGCGCCUCUGCAUAAUUGAGUUGUUUUUGUGAUUGUUUAUGCUCUGCCUGCACCUGAACAUUCCAUGUCUUAAUCUAGAACAGCAUCCCUUCAUCAUUGAUGUCUUUUUUAUGUGCCAGCAUUGUUUGUUUAAGCCAAAAUCAGCUCAAACAUGCGCCAAAUUCCUCCUCGCCAGCUUUAUUCUAUAGUUCCUAACGCUGUACAUGAAGGCAUGGGCCAAAACAUGGAUGAACUUGAAUUACUUGGUAAAGCUGCACAUGAAGGAAUGGAGCAAAAAUUUGGAUGAACUUGAAUUACCUGGGGGUGGUGACUGGUGAACAGUAAGCUUGUGUUCGACUACAGCCUUGUAGCAGCUCGUCAAAAUUCAGUGAGGACCAGCUGACGAAGGAUGUUCAAUUAUGCAAGAACUGUCUCGAUACACCUCUCUCGGCAAUUGCCACGCGCUGCCUGACAGCGGACGAUGAGAGGAGACGAUCUCACCCCGGCCCGGCAGCCAGAGAUCUGGCGGAAAAGGACCACGGGGACCUGAGCUCCUGCUCGUCUUCGUCUCAAAACGUGUGGCCGCGCGGUGACAGCAGGAUGGAUACCGUAUCGCCGCUGGUGGCCGUGGUGUCCGCCUGUCUGGUCUCUCUUUCCUCCGGCGACCUCCCCGUCGCUGUCGCCGAGAAAAUGCUCCGGCGGGGACGAAACUUCUUCGGGCAAGAUCACGUUUUUACCACAAAUCGGGGAAGGGUAGCUGUAGCUGAGCGCGGCACGCAACUGAAACUUCAGCUGAUGCAUGGAUCCACUGACGGGCUUCCUCUGUGGCUCUGUCAGAUCCCAUCAUCGGCCACAGUGAUUCAGUGAAUCCAAUGAGCUCGUAGUACGUUUCGACCGUGGCACCGUGUCGCAAUGGCGUGUGCCAGUGUUGCCCUGGACGUCGACAAGUGUUCACUGGUCCAGUCCAAAGGACGGAUUGCAGCAGGAGCACGGUUAGUGUGGCUGAACCAUCCUUGCGUUCGUGUGGCGGCUCGAGAUUGGCCGGGAUGUGCGUAGGGCGGUACAAUAAUUGCCGAUUAUGUCUGCUGUUGUAGCCCUCUGAAUCACUGUUCAACCUUUAGAGAAUUGCUUUCAGAACUUCACUUUGCUUCAAGCUGAAACAGUGUUAGUGUUGCUAGACCUAGACGCUUGGAGAUGACCAGAGGCCGAGAGGGCGACUGAAAUGACAUUGCGUCUGUCAACUGGUAUGAAUGGCUAAUCUGGGGGUUGCUUUUUAAUCUAGCAAAGAGAAGCAGGGGAACAGACCAGUGCUGUGCUCUGCAGGUGUAGCAUGUGCACGAGCCAUCUCAGGGUAUCUCCGAUUUCGUUUCUGCCACCGGAUUCAGACAAACCCCCGAAAUGGAUACGGUUUCUUGCAGUCGUAUCCCUUCAUCUGGUUUAAUACUAGAGAAGUUCUCUUGUUCUUGUGAUUGUUUAUUGGAGCUACCUAACACGUCAGGGCACUGACCACCGCUGGUUCAGGAAACAAACAAAUGCAGGCAGGCAGUGGCGAACUCACGCACUGCAAGCCGUUCCCUUUUAUUUAUUCAUUUGUUUUGUGAAAUUGGCAUACGAUUUAAGUCUCGUGCGCAACGACAGCGUUUUUAAAUAAUCCACCAUCAUGUUUGCAAUGUGUACCAAACACCUAAUGAUACGCUCCAUAAUCUAUUAGGCAAAUUAAGCAUUAUAUUUUGCUGAGCAUCCCUUGUACUUGUGCUAAAAAAUCCCAUGGCAACGUUGUUGUUUAGUUAUGACUGAUGAGUGGUCUGAAAUUUCAUUGAGAAAUUUUGCUUGCAGGCGCAGGAGACUAGGAGAGGAUAGUCUUCCUUUUGUUUUUGGGAAGGCAAAGUUCUGUGUGUAGUGCUGUGUGUUUCUUCGUGUUUAUUAAUGUUGUGGUCUCUUCUUCUUAAUACGUGCUAGGCAUAUCUUGAAAAAAAGAAAAAGGCAAAGUCCCAUAAACUCCAUAGCUUCCUUUUGAUCCAGCACGUCACAAGACAGAAGAAAAAAGUUGGAUUCCUGAGGUGAUGUUUGAACGAUCCGGGUCGACAGGAAUCAGGUCGGAGCCGGAUGCGGUUCAGAGAAACGUCCUGUAGCCUUAUCUCCGUCCAUGUGGCCAACCAGCCAGCUCAAAUGCAUCAAGAAGCUCACCACCUAUCUGCGUUAGCGUUAUACUGUGGCAACAUGCCCCUGCAAAACAGAACAAGCGUCGAACCAUUUGACAGGCACGAAGAAGAUACGAGCAGCAAUAAUGCCAUUAAGAAAACGAUCACAAGACAAGCAACGCAAGCUAAGCUCCCAGAUGCACUCCCCUGCACUCAUGAUGCGUGUAUCUCGCCAGCAGAAUCUUUAACAGCCAUACCCUCUGCUUCGUGUUUCAAUCCUGCGCUAGCAAAGAAAGACACUGGAUAAUCAGCCUUGAUCGUUAACUCAAAAACAGUAGCUAAUUGCUGCCCUAAUGGUAGCUUUGUCUGGUCGCUUUUCUCUGAAUUUUUUGUGGUCACCUCCAAUUAUUGCGCUUAAAGAAAACUGUACAAUUAUUGUACUUCGGGUGUCCAUGUGUCAUCUCCUUACCCGUGCAGACUUCAUGGCGUCACCUGCUGUGGAAUGGGACAUUGGACACCGUGGCUCGUGAUCGCUUUCAGCAUUGGAUGUCUGCUGGUUCUUGCAGCGGAAUCAGACGCGAAUGAGGCAGGGAGCCAGGGAGGGAGAUGCAGCUGAGCCUGAGAAGAUGCGGGCACAGUGCACAUGGACGUGGACGUGGACGUGGAUGGGUAGCGAGGUGUGUGGGUUCCCGUUUCUCCCGGGUUGGCUGGCUCGUCGUAGAUGCGAAGAGCGGAUGGGCACACGACAUGCAGAUAACGGACGUGGGGCAUGACCAUGAUUGUCGCCAAUAAUGCUCGGGUUUUAGUGUUUGUUUUCUUUUCCCCGCGGGCCACAGCGAUUUUUCAGGCCAUGGAUGCGUGUUUCACAGCACGCAUCUUCGCCGCAGGAUUUUCGAGUGGUAAAAACGGAUGCUGCCAUUCGUGUCUCGGGGACAAGCUUCAGUUGGUUCGACUGGACUUAUAAGCUGGCUGAAAAGCUGAAACGGUUAAUUUAUUGUGAGAGAAAAAUACUGUUCGGUGGCUGAUAAGUCGGCUGAUAAGCUGAAACGAACAGGCUGAAGGUUCAUAGUCUAGAUCCCAUAAUAACUGCAUAUCUCCCAUUUUCUGCUGAGAUGUAAAAGAUAACCUGCAGUUUUCUCAUGCACAAUGAGCAGUGCCAGAUGUUUAGAAUUCAAAAUUCAAACAGAGGGGACCGGAUUUCAAAUUAGAGGCAAUAUAAAUCUGUAACUCGGCUCACUUCUGGGCUCAGGCCUAAGUACAAAGGGCUGGGCCUGGCUUGUUGGCUCCGAUCUGCGACAAAUGGGCCUCGUGACAAGCUUUUGGCACAGCUCGCUCGCUUUUUAACGAAUUCAAAACAAGCGAGGCAUUUCCACAGCCCAUUCUAUCUAAUACGACCCACCAGUUCGGUAUAAUUUUUUCUAAUUUCCAUGGUCCACGGCGGGCGCAAAGCCGUUGCUUGGGGGUGCAUGUAUGUACAUUUUUUGAGCUUAGGCCUUGCUUCCCAUAUUUUAUAUUACUAAACGGAAGAUCCUACCCGUUUACGUUAAAAAAAUAAAAUAUAAUAAUUUCGUGGUCCACUCUAUGGAGAUACUACGAAUUUCAUCCAAGAUUCCUAUGAUAAAAAGUAGCACAAAAACGUAUUGAAAGGUCGUACCACGGUCCAGCGAGGAACACAUCUCAGAAACAUCUGAAAAGAAAGAAAAGGAAAGGUUAUACCACAAAAGAAGAAAAACAUGCUUCUUGAAAUGGCUGCUAAUUACUACAUCUGUCCGUUCUGUAAAAGGUCGUUUAACCCUCUAUAUAUCUCGCUUGAGAGCUCUUGUAAAAGAUAAAUGUUGAAAACUCAAACUGUAGGGUUUAUCAAACUAUGAAUUUCUUUUCUAGGGAUUUGUAAAAUCGACAAAGAACAUUUUGUAUAUCUUAGAAAUUAUUAUUCUUCUAAAAAAUAUCUUAGAACUUUAUACAAAGUUAAUGGUCUUUCAAAUAUGAGAAAAACUAUGAAACCCACCUAGACAAAAGAGGUAAUCAUAUAUUUAACCCCAACAAAGAAAAAACUUACAUAUCAUUUUCUUAAUAUUCUUACGUAACCUAACCUAAUUUUCAAUAGUUAUUUACAUUCAACUAACAACUACUGAAAAAUUGACACGUGUAUUUUGCACAAUAACUAAAAAGACACUUUGUAAUCAACCUUGAUUGAUGCUUUGAUUUACUAGAUUAGCGAAUUAAAUAUACUAUGUUGAACGCCAUAAAAGCCACUCAAUAUCAUGGUUAAUUUGGCUCUCUCGUGGGUUUUUCUUUUCUUAUGGCUGAGCAAACUCUCCAUCGUCAUAUAUGCAUACUCCAUAAAUGUUAAGAGUUGGCACUAGAUAGGCUCGUAGAAUUAUGCCUGAUUCGUCCAUAUCUACUCUUUAACAAUAAUAACUAUAUACAAUACAUGGACAUAUGACAUAAUUGGUGAGUAUAGUGCUCAAAUAUGUUAGCAUGACUUUUAACUUAAAGCAAUAUGUUAGCAUGACUUUUAACUAAAAGCAUGAUUUAUCGUUGUCGUUCAGUCAUUGGACCAUACUAUAAAAAAUAAUAUCCAAUUCUUCCUCUUACAAAAGUCGCCAGACGUGUCCAAAUGAUGUACUCACGAUGGUCUGCGCAGUUAAAUGUGGACCUCCUGAUAUCAACCAAUCUGCAGACGAGUAUCUCUAGCCGAUGGAUGAGUAUGAUGAGAGGGCAUCCCGAGAUAUACUUCCUUUCCCACUAGAGAACCCUAUUCCCCAUAUCCAAAGUUAGCAACAUGAUAGCAAGAUAUCUCCGAGAUAGAGCUGCGCGGUCAAGGGAUGAGGCCCUAACCCUAGCGCCGUAUGUGGUGGGAUCAGGAAAGCAGGAAAAGAUGGGCGCAGGAAGGAGGACCAUGUCUCCGGCUCUAUAUAAUGCGGCACAAACCCCGGCCAUAGCCUCACCACACAACGAAGCAGAUCUGCAGCACACACAGAUCUGAGCCUCAGCCCCCUUCGUCUUCAAGUCCGGCCGAUCUCCCGGUCGGCUUCUGCACGAACUUUCUCCCUCACGAUGCAUGGUUUGUUUUGCGAGUGGUUUUGCGGCGGUGGCGGCGGUGGUUUCCCUGGCUAACUGACAGAAGAGAGUGAGCACGCAGCGGUCAGACUGCAUCGAUCCGAUCUGCAAUCGAGACGGCACACGUACGAAUGAUGCAGCUGCUGCUGCGUGCUCACUUCUCUCUCUGUCAGUCCUCUCCGGCCUCUCCCUGCUGUUGCUGUUGCUGCAAGUUGCAGGCUCAGGCUUUACUGCGACGGGACAAGAAGGGUUUGCAGGACGGCGGUGGCGAGAUAAGGCCGGUUUGGGCGGGGUCUCGUCCUUAUCUUGCACUCCGGCUGCCCUACGUCUCUCCGCCCGAGGAGGGGCGAGUCGGAGCGGUGGCGCAGUUGGACCCGUACUUUGGAGCAAGGUACGUGUCGGCUAUCCGUGUGCAACCCCGCUGCGCGCAUGCCCGGCCGUUUCUCCCUGCCUUUUGCUUGCGCUUUCCUUUCACGCCGCAGGCCCCCGUGUCUCGGCCUCCCAAGGUCGAGGGAACCGGGGGGGACACGCCUCGGGGAAGGAGACGACGCCCCCGCGCGUGAUAGAUUUGAUUAAACUGAUCUCGCCGAUCUCACCGCUGGCUCGGCUUUCCUUGCACGCGCGCGCGUAGCCGAAACGACCUCGCACUGUUCCGGCCGGUCCCGUCGCCUCCAUCGAUCUUUGCUACCUACGUCAUUGUUCUCAUGUCUGUGACUCCAUUAGCUUCGAGAUCUGUCGGUAACUUGAUAAAAUCCCCGAGAUCUGAUGUUUAUUUCUCUGACCUACUGGUCGUUUACUUUUUCUCCCUCAUCUGAAAUGUUCUGUUUGCAGUAUUAGCUAGUAGUGCCAUAUGACUGCCAUCAUCAUCUCAUGUGUGCAGGUAGGUUUUUUGGGGGGUUGCCAUGGUGGUGCCGGCUCGUGCAGGAGGUAGAUCUGCCUGCCCGGAAGAGGAAGGAGCAUCAGUGCGUUUGCCUUCCAGAUCUGGAAGCUGCUGUACGUGCUUACGUAAGCGUACUUGCAGAUCUUACCAUGUAUUCUUCUUCCCAGGUGAUCAUUUUUCGUGUUUGUUUUCUAACUGUUCCAUUUCUGACAGUGCCUAAUUUGAGGUACUGAUGGAUGGUGCUAAAUUCUUUUUGAGUGUUAGUAACUUGCCAAGCAGGGGUGAAUGAAUUCAAUUAGCCAACUAAUAUCCUGAUAUUGAAAUUGACCGUUAUGCAUAGAUAAGUGCAUCUUUUGGUUUAACACACGAAUAUCUUUUCAGAUCGCUUAUGUAUGUUUGUGCUAUUGUUUUCUCUAAUGAAGAUGGCACAAUAUUAAGACCAUCAAUUUAUUCUGAUCCAUCAGAAAAAGCAACAAUCUAAUACAGAUAAUUCGGUCAAGAUUCUUAUUUUAUGGGUCUCGUCGUACCAUGAUUUUUCUUGUGUUUGCCUAUGGCUAGUUGUAUUUGUACAUAAACUUCUUUGCAGAUGCAUUUAUGUGAAACACAUUCAGGACCUAGCUCGGUAACUAUAUUAGAGGUUCACGUACUGUGUGAUGAUUAAGAGGCUCGAUUGUUCUUUCAUGUGCAGGGUGUCCUAAUAAUUCUGGAUCCGUGUCCCAAUUUUUUCCUGCACCAAAUAGUUGUGGCAUGAAAUAUCCUCUCACUCAUAAUACAGCUUCUUUAAAAAGCUGUUUUUUUAUCAUUCACAGUGCAUUUGAACAAAAUAUACAAUGGAAGAUCCAUUACAAUUUUAUGUAGUCAUAUCAGUUCCAGAGACCUAGAAGUGUUCUGCAAAGGCUGAGAUGUUUUACCAAAACAAGAUAAUUGGUGCAAUUUUAUGUGUGUUCCUACGGCUACAACUUUUUGAACCCAUCCACUAACACGAAUGAUGAAUAUGGAAUAACAUGCUUAAUUCACCCAUAAAUAAUUUCAAAGCCAUGUACACACAUAUUUGGUCAUUGACAGGAUAGAUUAAUUGCAAUGGUCAUAAUUGGUACCUUACAUUAGUCCUUUUUAUGUAUAGUUCUUAUCUAAUAUUGUUAUAUAUUGAAUAGGUUCUGUGAAUUUCUUAGCUUUUUCUGUGAGGGUUCCUAAAUUAUUACUUAAUCAAUUAAAUCUAGAUCGUCCAGAUCGACUGCUCUACAGCCAUAUAUACCUAUUGCUCAAAAUCUCAAAUACAUGUCAUGUUGUUUUCACUUAUUGUCGCUCUCGUUAAUCCCAGUAAAUCAUUUUACCAGGAUGUAAUUAAUCUAGUUCAUUAAAGCUCGAACUUAUACACUUCCAGUGCUGUCUUUGUAUGGCUUUGGAAUCUCCCAUUUAAAGGAAUCUGCAAAUGUUCCUUACACAGAUUUUUUCCUUGUAUGCUGUGGUUUUUAAUAAUACUAGCACUAUAUGAAUACAAGAAGAGAUACUAACAAUUGCUACCAGCUGUGGAUCGCCACUUGUAUGUCUCCCCCCAAGCUUAUCCAUAUGGCCAGAACUGAACUGGCACACCCUUCCUGAACAUGGUUCCUGCUGGGCACGUGUUGCCAAUGUUUGGACAUCUGGAGAUAAAACUCUGAUUGCAUGAAGUCAUGAAUCAGGAGUCAGGAUCCACCACGCCUUUCUCUGGUCCCUAGAUAUAUAUCAACAUAUGAAACGUGCAUGCUAUCCAGCGUUGUAAUGAUAGCUCCUGUUAUCAUUCAAAUAAGGAGGUGUUUGUGUUUGGUUCCACGGACUAAAGUUUAGUUCCAGUCAUAUCGAAUGUUUAGAUACUAAUUAGGAGAAUUAAAUAUGAGCUAAUUAUAAAACCAAUUGUACAAAUGGAGACUAAUUCACGAGACGAAUCUAUUAAGCCUAAUUAGUCCAUGAUUUGACAAUGUGAUAUUAAGCCUAAUUAGUCCAUGAUUUGACAAUGUGAUGUUACAGUAAAUAUGUGCUAAUUAUGAAUUAAUUAGGCUUAAUAGAUUCGUCUCACGAAUUAGGUUCCAUCUGUGCAAUUGGUUUUGUAAUUAGUCUAUAUUUAAUACUAAUUAGUAUCUAAACAUUCGAUGUGAUAGGGACUAAACUUUAGUCCGUGGAAUCAAACACCCCCUAACCUUUUUGAAAUUUUGAAUACUAGCUAAGCUUGUUUUGGUAGGUUCAUUUAGUUAAUUCUUCGGUGAAGUCUCUAAUCCCUCAAACUCUUCAAUAUUAUGUAGACAAAGCUGUUAGCUACCUCAAUUGUUAAGAUUUACGCCUUUUUUUUAACAAUCACAGCAGUAUUUCUUUAAUUAAUUCUUCAUUUUUUAUUUUUGACAUAUUGUUAAUGUUACCUCCAGAUUAUAUGAUGUAUAGCAAUAAUAAUUGUUUGUACAUGAACACAUCUACUUGGACAUAGAAAGUAGUAUAUGUUUUUACUCCCUCUUAUGUUUUAAUUAGUUAGAAGUUUUUGCUGUUAGAUUACUCUCGGAUACCAAAUUAAUCAUCAUUUAGUUAUUCUCAUUUCACUAGAUAAGCUAGGUGUCAUAUAUAGUUUCAUUGGUUUAAUUAGUUAGUUGUACAGGUCCUAUUGUAGUAUCCUGUGCAUCCAUAGGGUCUAAAAAAUUUAAUCGUUUCCCAGAGAUGCCAAGUGCUGAUAAAACUGUAUCUGUUUCACGUGUAACUAGGUAAAAAGAAACACUGUUGAUAAUUUAUAGAAACCCUAAGUUAAUUAAAAGUGUUGAGUUUACAAGAUCAGGCCACUGUUGGCCCAUUUAACCAUAAAGCCGGUCGGUCCCCUCACAGUAUUAUGCUCAUACACAAUCACAAGUCCUAGCUAACUCCUAACGUCAUUUAGGACCACGAUCGAAGUAUGCAAGAAUCUUUUCCUUUUGUUGACUGUAUUGGUUAUUCAAUUGUAUCUCGUUUGAAAGCAUAGCCAGUGCAUGCUAUGUUAUGGUUGUAUCCACUACAGGCAGGAGACUGUAACAUCUCUCUAAUGACUGCCUCAACAAGUUCUGUUCCGGAACCUAGCUAAAUCAUUAUGGACGUACUCUGAUGAAGGCUUUAUAUGUAUGAGUAGUUCGUUCAGCUUGGGUUCGUAUACGAAAUAAACGAAUAACUAGGGAAAUGACUUGAAAGGUCCAGAUGACCUGAGAUUCUGAGCUUUCCAAUUUCAUUUUCAUGCAUGUUCAUGCCAUCCAUAUUCUACAUAUGUACAAUAAAGUGGAUCUCAGAGCGUUUUGUUUGUACCUGUAAAGUGCUGAGAUCCAUCCAUCCGUCCAUGCCCACAGCGGAAUGGACAUGCAUCACCCGGAUAGGCAUGUCAUUGUCAGCUGUGUUUAAAGACGAUCUCUGAUCUGCUUCCGAGCGAGGAUGUCUGUACUUCUUCCACUUUAUGCUAAGAAAUCAACGCAAGACGAUCUCUGAUCUGCUUCCGGCGAGCCGCGAUAUUUUGAUGCAGCAGGCCGGCCAGAGAUGUCGAGACGAGCUCGCGUCAUUUGUCUCCUGGCGCUCGUCUUCCUUUGCGUGGAUAUAUUCGAUCGGUCGUCGUCCCCGGUUGUUGGCUGCAUGCAUGAAUGAGGAGGGGACUGCAUUACUGAUGUCGUAGUAGCUACUGUAGACUGUUGUAGUGAGGAAUGACUAAAACGCCUGUCGUUGUACUGGUUUUCUUUUUUUCAUUGAGGGAAUCCUGUUGUUGUGUAAUGUUCAUUUCCUUUCUAAAUUGGAUUUUCUUUUUUGAGAUUUGUAUUGUCAAUUGUCAGGAUUCACAUGGACUCUUGUGUAAAUUCGUGUGGGGAAUGCAGUACUGUAUAACAUCAGAAGAGUUAACGGCUUGGAAUUUUUUUUUAGGGUAACGGCUUGGCAUUUAUGCAGAAGAAAAUCGUUGACCUAAAAAUCAUGCCAUAACACUGUACUUGGACGGCCCAUCGCGAGGCCAGUAAACACUGGCAGGCCCUAACUCGCAUCCCCCUCCCGCUUCUCUGGGCCGCACGCCCGGCAUGGCAGCACCGUCUCCAAAGCCCACAGAGUGUCCUGCCCGUUUCCACCUCGGGCCGGCCCACCCGUGUCCUUUCCCCUCCCGCAAGCGAAAGCCCCCGAACAAAUCCCCGCACACCCCCGCAGCCGACGAUGUCCACCGCCGCGGACUCCGACGCCGACUACCACAGCUCCGACGGAUCCGUCAUGCCCGACGUCCUCGCCAAGGGCCGGGAGGCCUGCUACAAGGUAUAGCCCUCAACCCCGUCCCCGCGCCCCUCCCUCCCCUGAACCCUCUCCUUCCUCGCCGGCUUUCCGCUGCUGACGGGAGGCGCGCCCUCCUCCGCAGGCACGGGACGCCUUCUACGCGUGCGUGGAGAAGCACGCGGACAAGAAGCCCACCGAGAUCGCCACCAUGGGGCUCCUCUACCCCGCCGACUGCAAGAAGUCCCGCGCCAACUUCGUCAGCAACUGCCGCCCCACCUGGGUAAGCACUGGAUUCCGCGCCGCCGCCGUCGGCGCAUAGCCCCUGCACGAUUUCAUGCGCUUCAUGCUUUCUCUUGUUGGCACUUGGUUAAAUCGGUGAUUGCGCAGGUGAAGCACUUCGACCGGCAGUACUGCGCCAAGAAGCGGGUUCAGAGGCUGCUCGACGGCGACGAGGACCGACGGGGUCCCAUCUCGCUUCCCCAGCCCUACACUUUCAAGCAAUAGGUAGUCGUUUCUGCGGUUCUGAUAUUGGUAUUGAGCUGAAUUGGAUCAAGUACUAUUUUGGUAUCCAGAUGCUAUAGGUUUCAGGCUUGAUAUCGUUUAGAUCGAUGCUUAUGUGAUGUGUAGCAGUACAUUGCUCCGAAUGUUAAUGGAUAAACGAAUUUGUAUGUGAAUUCCUCAAUAUCAAGAUAUCCCUACUUGGCAUGUGAGUUGCAAUACUUUUCUUCUCACGGCAUGCAGGUUGCCGGAAUCUUUAUUGAACCCUUUGUUCUUUCAUGCCUUAUUUCAACUGAUCUCCAGGUUGCCAGAAACCAGAAUGCCAGUUACCAUCUUUAGCUAAAAUCUGUUAACUCAAUUGGUGAUAUUUCUGUCUAGCAUCCACAAAGCAUUAUCUGCUAAAAUAUGAUUUCAUAGUUGCGGAAGUUCCUUUGAUAGUAUCGAGAUUCUGUUUUGUCCUGUGAAAUAAGGUAAUUACAAACAUUCCCUAAAAAAAUACAAUAACCAAAAUUUCUGUUUAUAUUAGGGAAAAUUGCCUCUAUAGCACUACUGGUGAACCAUUUUGCAAACAUACACCUCUCAAAUUUGAGCUACUAUUUUAGCACCAGUUAGUUCUUCAUUUUUGUGUCGUCUACCACUAUACCGUAGGAUAAAAAAUCAACCGCUCAGAUGAGAUUUAAUCCUUCUACCGUUAGCCUCUUCCUGUCUCUGUCACGCACUAAUGCUCUGCCAGACCAUGCCUUCUCCUGAACUCUGGCCACUGCUCCACCUCUUCCUCCCUCAACUGGUCCGCCGUCCACCUACAAGUCGAUUCAUCCCUAGAUCGACCCAUUCCGGAGAUCAGAGUGUUCCUCCUUGAACCAGGUUGUCCCUAGGCUGUGCACACUGGUUUGCGCAGGAUAGCGAGAGCUCGGCAAAGUGGUUGGUGCAUGAGGCAGUCUCGGCAGGCGCAUCAAGGAGAGCAUUGCAGUGAGUUAGCAGUAGGGUGACUAUGCUGGCCAGCUUUUGGCUACCUCCUAGAAUCAUCCUGCCAGUUCGCUUUAGGUAUGGCCAGAUCUUGCGUUAGGCAAUGGGGGAUCUUGUGUUGCGCGAGGAGGAUGGGCGGCUUGGGGUCUCAUGAGACACAUUGGAGUCAGCGGGUGCACUCACUGGUCUGCUGGAGAUGACGUGUGGAUGUGGCCGAGUGGAGGGAAGAAGUUGCGGGAGAUGGCAGCUUUGACGGCGCUGGCACGGGGUAUUUGACAUAGUGGUAUAACAGAGCAAAACUGAGAAACUAGGUGGUGCUAAACUAGUAAUUUAGAAUGGCAUAAAUCAUAAUAGCAUGGUUUCAAAAAGGUUCACCAUUAGUGUUAUAGAGGCAAUUUUCCUAUAUAUUAAUGACCUUAUUAGAUUUCAUGCACUGGUGUUUCAUUCCCUUGUCAGUGUUGUCAAAUUGACACCUAGCCCAUAUAAAUUUUGAGUGUCAACUAGCACCCACAAAAGCAGAUUCUUCUUGUUCAAUUGCCAUAUCUCUAGCAUUCUGUUUCUGGUAACUACUUUUUUAUGCAUUAGGAUGUCGGCCCUUAUUUGUUGUUUUCUUAAAGUCCUUUGAACUGAUUUGCACACAGUGAUGGGCCUCUUUGAUCACCGCAUUCAUUAGGCCUGGUUAGGUGUUUAACCAAACAUACCUGUACUGUUAGGAUUCAUUGAGGCUCAUUAUUUAUUUCUCCUAAUGCCUCCAUGCAAUAGUCUGUACCUUUCGUCCAUCAUCAAUAACCUUUUUGCACUGUCCAAUUGUCCUAUACAUGAACUCUGUUAUCAUAAAAGGAAAAUCUAAGUUUAUCCAUCUUGUUCUAGGUAGUUCGUGCUAUGAUUGACAAACACGAUGCUUGGAUAACGUUAUGCCAUCGGAUGUGUUAAUAGUUAAUAGAGGACCAAUUUUUGACACUGAACAGCUAUAUGAUCUAUCGAUUUUCAUUAGAAGAAAGAGUUGGGUAUGUAAAAGAUCAUUUGAUGUUUUGUUUGUUUCCUUAUUUUUGUAACAAAGAUAUUUUUUCAUUCCAAACUUUCACAUGUUCAAUCAGUUAUAUCCAUGUUUUCCUACAUGGAUUGAUGGAUGUGGUGCUUUAUAAUGAUUUUUAGUUUAUAACUUUAUAUUGCCAUUGUGGUGCUGCAAAAGUAGAUUUGUUGUCAUUUAGCAUGUCUAGAUUUAGAAAAUGAAGAUGCACAAACCUACGAGAUGGGAUGAAGAUUAGUCCAAUGGGCUUGAGUUGGGGGUUAAACAUACGUUCUGUGGUGAGAUGGGAUAUUAGCAGUUUUGUUGAAGGGGAUUGGACCUUUAAAAGCUGCUCUAGAAUUAUGCUUAGCUUAAGAUCCCAGGUUUUGCACCUUUGAUCUUCAUAGUUACUAAAAGUUCAUCAGAGCAGGGGUACCAGCCUGACAUUGUCAGCACAAUUGAUUCAACUUAAACUGCACACAGCAACCCAAACUAUAUCAGCUUUUAUCUCAACCUCCUAUUCUAGACUUCUUUAUCACACCCUGAUGAUGGUUGAAGCUCUGUUGCUCAUCCCCAAAUGACAUUGUGUCCAUCAUGUCUAAUUCCCAUUCUCAACAAACUUUGAGUUCCUGCAUAAAUGAUAUAAAUGAAGAAUAUCAAUGAUCCCGUUCUUUGAGAACAUUAAUUUCAAAUACUAUAUUGUUCCUUGUCUUCCUCAAGGCCCAGCAGACUUUCUAAACCAAAUAUGAUGAGUUCAAUUUUUAUUACAAAACCUUGAGCCAACCAGUUAUUUGUACCUUGAUGAGAUCAUAAAUAAAACCGUCAUACACACUGCCAACCAACUGCAUCUCUGAUAAGUUUUAUGUAAAAAAGAGUGUUUUUUUUUUUUUUUUUUUUUUUUUUUUUUUUUUUUUUUUUUGCAUUUGCUAACGCUGCUUGCAAUGUUCAGAGCCUGCCUAGACUUGGUUUUACCUAGAAAAAGUACCAUAUCGGAAUCUCAACAAUGAGAGGUGAUUUUGCAUUGAAGAUACCAUGCAUUCACAAAUUAGGGAUACCCCCAUGAAUUAGGACUGCAUACGUAGGUAUUGGAGUACAAAAGCCCUGUCUUGUAGCAAGAGUACCAUCCUGAAUUUUUGGAGGGGAAAAAUAAUCAAGUCUCAACUUCUCAUAUAGAACUUUCUGCCUUGGAAUUAGUUUAUGCAUUUUUCCCUGAGUUCCUUCUGUUGCCAUAAUAGUGAACAUUUCUGUAAUGUCAACUCACCUGUAUAUUUAGUUCAGCAAGGGAUUGGUUUAUAUAUAUGCAUCUCCUUUUCUGGGCUCUGUCUUCUCAGGCCUCAGGAUACAAUUUGAUUGAUAUAGUUAUUUUUGAUGCGGUAGGUUGUGAUGCGGUGUGAGGUUUGUUGUCUCUUGACAAUGAUUGGGCAUCACACUAUUUAGUUCAGAAUUGAUUCUGAUUGUUCGUUGUAGAUUCCUUUCAAGUCAAAAGAUUAGGUAGGUCAAAACAUUACUUGUUUCCUACUCUCCGCUCUGUUCACCAACUCAUUGUUUUGGCUCUCUUUGUUGCUUUCCCUUUGAUCCUCGUUUGGUCUUGUUACUUAACUCCAGAUGUUGUGAUCUUGGUGCUGUUAACUGUCAUUGUUUCUUGCGAGUUGCAAUGACCGUGCAAUGUAUUGUGUUUAUUGUCACGAUCAAGGGUGGCAAAGUGGUGUUUUACUAGCUACUCUUGCA